rnacentral:lncRNA from 1 species
CCGGUUUUAUAGAGCUUUUUGGGUCAAAAUAGAGCUUUUAUCUUCGAAUUUUGCUUGUUACAAAAAAAAAAAAAAAAUCUUUGAAUUUUGCUAAAAUAUUUACAGAAAUGUAAAAUAUUAUGGAUAUCAAUAGGCCCUUUUUUUUUUUGUCAACCUCAUUUCAUUAAAACAGCCCAGUGGGCGUGUUUACAUAUGUCGGGCUUUAAAACAUCGAGGCUCAGUAACAGAAAUUUAAACAAUUACAACUUUAAGCCCAUAAGUAUACACCGACACUACACAUAUUUGAUUUCUUAUCUCCUAGUGACACGUACGCGACACGCGGCUUUCAUGCGUAAGUUGAAAUUGCCGGCAUCGCUCCGCCACUGAUCCGACGUUGCAAUACUCCUCCGCCGUGAUGUACCUUCGUGUCGAUCCAUACUCAGUUUAGAAGCCUCGUUCUUCCCGAUCUGAAUACCUUCCACCUCUACCGUGACCUCCCUGAUCAGAAUUAUCCUCCUUCACCAUUGAUUAAUACCAAAGAAGUUUUUAGUCAAUUUGAAAAGAGAACAUUCGUUGGACCGCUAUAAGCGCCAACUCUACUUGGUCUCCUCUGAAUUGACUGCAUAACUCCAUCAAACCCAACCAAUUCUCAACAGAGAUGCUUUCCUCAAUCGCCUUAUAUGGCUAAAUCAACAGGAAAGACUGAUUCUCUUUGAAAAAUUGAUUAAAGUGAAACGAUAAAAAAGAAAAUUCGAUCAUUGGUCAUUGGGAUUCAAUUAAAACCUAGUGGAAAGUAAUUUGAACUUUCUUCAUUGAAGAUAGAAAAAUAGAUUGGAGAUCUGCUUCAAUGAAGAGAAAAGAAACACAACAAAAAAACAUCGCCAUAGCGAAGACUUGAGAUCCGCAACGGAAGAAGUUCGGCUGAACCGAAGAGACAUAGAUCUUUAUUUAUAUCACAACAAAAAGCAAAACGUACAAAGGAGGGAUGGCGACCGGCGGCAAAAGUGCUCACCGGCCACCGAACGCAAUUGUUGUUUAGAGAGAACUUAGAGCGUUUAGAGAGAGAGACUUAUUAGUGGAUAAAUUUCUAAAUGGAUAUCAAUAGGCCCAAUAAUUCAAAUUAAGAGAACUAAAUUCAAAUAAGCCCAAUUAUGAGUCCAAAACAGCAUAGCUUAGGAAGCAAUGAAUAUGAUGGCCAAUCAACGAUCCAAUUGAAAGGAAGUAUUUUCAGUGUCUCUAAAAUCAGUUUUAUUUUAUAUUUUCAAAAAUUAAGAGUUUAUCAUAUUAGAUAUUCAAGUUUUAAUUUUCCAUUUUUCUAUAUUUACUAUAUUGAUUAAUUUUUUAGUUACAAUUUUUAUUUAUCUAUCAAGUAUUUUAUUUAUAAAGUAUUUUUUCAAAAUAAAUUAAAACGGAAAACUUAAUAAAUUACUAUCUAAAAAUGUUUAAUUUCAUCUAAGAUCUUUAUAAUACAUAAAUAUUUAUUAUCUUUUAUUUUUUUUAACAUACUCGACAUAAAUUAUGGGAAAUUAGAUUUAGUGAAAACGAAAACACAUAUCGAUAUUGAAAAUAAAAUGUAAAAACUUACAUUUCAUAAGUAUUGUAACCUACAUAAAUAGUGCAGAUCCAAGAAAAUUUUAAACUCAAAUAAGGCAAAAUAAUUUCUGAUUUACAAAAAUACAAAACAAAUUAAUUUGGUGAUCUUAGAAAAGCAUUAGUAUACUUUAUAGCAUUGGAUUUUCAAUUAGGCGAAAAAAGGAUAACUUUCUUUUGGAUUAUAACCAUCAUUAGUAUACAUUCACUCUUUGUUUGAAGAAAGCCAUUGAGCCUCUCCCUCUCACUAUUUACAUGAAACAAUAUUCUUUAAGCUUCACAAUUUGUAGAUCUACAUUAUUGUAGUACUUCAAGAACGUUACCACCAGAUCUUUGUAUGCAGAAAACUGUUUGAAAGUACCCCACAAGAUAGGUUGAGUUAAAUAACAGUUUUUAAAAAAGUAUUAUAUUAAAUUAUAACUGAACCAUACAUUUCAGCUUGGUCUAUAGGAGUUAUAGGUCUGACUCUGUAAAAAAAAACUGACAUGGUUCUUUCACAUGUGUUUUUUUCUCUUGCUGCCACAAAAUCACCUGUGAAAUAACAACAAAAGAGUAAAAACUAGUGUUCCUUUCUAUCUCCAAAAACAAAUAACUUACCAUACAUAAACUUCGGCUAGUGCUUUCAAAAACAAUGCUAUUGAUACUGAGGGUUUCUGGGGAUCCGGUACAUGGAAAACAGUCGAAAUAGAAUCAAAGCUUACCGGAGGUUAUGAGAAUCUGUUCUUCCAUGUUCCAGUUUGAUUAGAAAAAUACCAUAUUGAUAGAAUGAGUCUUCACAUUCCACUGUGUCUCUACCAAAAUAUACAGUUCUACACACAUAGCAAAAAAGAAAAACAAGGUUAUAACACACUAAAAAGGCUUGACUGAAGAUCUUUAUAAUAUUUAAAUAUUAAUUAUUUUUUAAAUUUCUUAACAUACUCAAACAUAAUACAUGGAAAAUUAGAUUUAGUGAUGAAAGCUAAAACAUGUAUCAAUAUUGAAAUUAUAAUGUGAAAAAUUAUUUUUCAUAAGUAAUAUAACCUACAAAUAUUGAAAAAUCCAGGAAGAUUCUAAACUCAAAUAAGGAAAAACAUUAUCUGUUCAACAAAAAUAUGUAACAAAUUAAUUUGGUGAUCUUAGAAAAACAUUAGUAUGCCUUAUAACCAGCUUUGAACUUCCAUGUUGGGAAUGACAAUCUUAUGCCAAUUAAUUACAUUGUAUAAAACUUUAGACUUAACCUCUUUAAUACAUCUCACCUACAUUCUUUAAGCAAUGGUUUUAUUGGUGCAUAUUUACAAAUUGAAACAUCAUAUACUCCAACUAAUGAAUCAUAAUAGACAUUAAACUAUGGUUGAAUGGCUUGAAGUAGACUUAUUCUCUUUGUAAAGCAAAGUGGAUUUUUCAUUUUCUAUAAAAUUCCAAGGAAAACUUAUAGUUGUGGAAAAGAUAAGCAAUCGUUUAAUUUUCAUUUGAGAAUUCAUAAGAUAUAGCAGUAUUAAGUAUGUAAACUUGGUUUCAUUAAUUGGAAUAAGAAACAUACCUGUUAAAAAAGAGCAUGUUGAAUAUUUAAACAAUGAGGGAGCACAUAUUAGAUCAUCAAGUGUGUAGUUGUUCAACCAACAUAUGUUUAUUUCUUAGACUAAAUGUGCUCUUUAUCCGUUCUAUAGUCCACUUUGACAACUUGAAGAAUGAUUCAUACACAUUAAGUUUUUAAAUGCUAGAAACAGUUUUCUUACAAACCAUCUUAGUCAGAUUAAUUCGAAAUAAUCAUAUACUUUAGUUUAUUUUAAUAUAUUCAGUUUCAUGAUUAGAAUAAUUUAUUUUUAUUCUUAUUUUCAGUUUGAUGAUUAGAACGAGCUAUCUUAGUCGGAUUAAUUCAAAAUAAUCAUUUACUUCAGUUUAUUUUCAGCUUCAUGAUUAGAAUAGUUUAUUUUUAUUAUUAUUUUCAGUUUCAUGAUUAGAACGAGCUAUGAAAAUUCAGCAAAGAAAUAAACUAAGAUGACUUAAUUAUUGCAAUAAUCUGUUUGAUAUGAAUAUAAAAAGUGUGAAUAAUUGAAAAUAAUUCCCCAAGAAUAAUUAAAAAUGAGGAAAUAGACAAUAGUCAUCGCUUCACCCUCUUUGCGUUGUCUGGGCCUUACCUCUCUCUGUCUGUCCUUGACACUCUUUCCUUAUUCAAAGUUUCUCUCUCUGAUCCCUUACUAUAAACUCUCUCUGUAGAUUUGUCGAAGCUCAAACUCUUUCCUCUGUCUCCUUCUCUCAGGUAACUAUCUCUCAAACUGCACUUUUCUUUUCUGCUGUCUCCGAAUCUGAUUCUUUUCCUGCAUUAUAUGUUCAAACACAAACUCUUUUCUAGGUUCUUGUUUUGGUUAUAUAAAAGUUAAGCUCUUUUUAAGAAAUGGGUUCUUGAUUUGACUCCUAAAGAUCGAACCUUUAGUUGGUGUUUCUUUGAUUUGUCUACAAAUUUUAGGGGUUUUAGGUUCUCAGUUUCAAUUUGUGUAGUUUGGUUUAGUUCUCUUCAAAUUUCUACUUACUUUGCAUCAUGGUUGCAAUAAAUUUGGUCUUUUUACUUUUUUGCAUGUCACAGGUUCUGUUUUUUCACCACUAGUUCUUGAGGUGGUGGUUACUUGUCUUAUUCUGUAAAAGCUGUUACCUUUAUAUUGUCACAGGUUAAAGAACUAUUUGUAUAGCUGUGAGAAGAUUUAAGAGUGUUUGUUGAAGAUGAAGAAAACAUCAAGCAGAAGCCAAAGAGGGAGCAGAGGUAUAAAAGGGAAGCAUGUCCUACAGAUAUGUGUUCUGCUUGGAGUCUGCAUCUGGCUAAUCUACCAAGUGAAGUAUUCUCAUGAUAAGAAGAAGGAAUUCUAUGAGACUGAUGACAAGAAGUUGUCGGAGAAGGAAGAUGGAAUGGUGAAGCUUGGGAGAAAAGAUCUUCUUCCCGGUUAUCAUAAGAAUGUGGAGGAGAAGCAUGUGGAAGAUGACGAGGAUGAAGACCAUGGAGAAGAAGGGAAAGAGAGCAAGAGGGAAGUAGAGAAUGGUACUCAUAACGAGGAUGAAGACCAUGGAGAAGAAGGGAAAGAGAGCAAGAGUGAAGUAGAGAAUGGUACUCAUGAGGAGGAGGAAGAAGAAGUAGCUGAGGAGGAUGAAGAAGAUAAGAGCAAGGUAGGAGAGGAAGUAGUUGAAGAGGAUGAGGAAGAGAACAAACAUGAGGAAGAUGAUGAUAUCGAUGAACAAGAUCAAAGUAAAACGGCUGGAGAUGCUGAUAAGGAUGAUGAAUCGCUUGAAGAAGAGAAGGAAAAAGAGACUGAUCAUGCAGAUGAGGUUGAUAUGACUGUUGACGAGGCGCGCGAGGAGCAUUACAAGGCUGAUGAUGCUUCCAGUGCGGUGUCUCAUGAGUCUCGGAUACUGAACACUGAGAAACUUAAAGAAAGCUCUGAUAAUUCAACAGGAACAGUUCAGGAGAACAAUGCCAACGCCACUGUAAGCGAGGCUGAGGUUCAGAAGGAACCUGUCUUGGAGAAAACAACCACAGAAGUGAAAGAUGGUGACAGUGAACCAUCCAGAGGUGAAGCAACAGUUAAUGGGAAUUCAACAGAAGCAGUUCUUGAAGCUUCAGGGUUUCUGCAGAAUGAAACAAGAAUCAUGCAAGAACGGAGUCAAGAAGAUGGUGCAUCGCCUUCAGGGUCCUCUGUUGUCAAACUUGAGCAGACACGUGAUGAAUCUGCUCCCAACAUCACUGUUUCCGCAAACGUUACCAACAUAGAUCCCAUUCAAGAUGACUCCAGGAACUCGACUUCAGAGUCUUCUUCUCUAAUAGAAAACAUCUCAGGCUCAAACACAACUGAGGUGAAGGAGAAUACAAGGUCUGAAGGUAGUGAUGAUGAAACAGUUGAAUAUAAGGAAAGUUCAAACCAGUUCUCCACAGAGCAAAAGGAGGAAGUAGAUGAUACUCCUGAAAGCACAAUGUUGCAAGAAGAGAGAGAAGCUCUCACUGAUCCACAAACCUUGCCGGAUAUAAGAAUAGAAGGGAAUGAAGACGAUCAAGAAGAAGAAGCCAUCUCAGCAGAGUAAAAUGAAGCUGGAUAAGUUAAAUGUGAAUGUUUUCUAUGGAGUUUUCUGCUUUUGCAGCUAUGUCUAGUAAAAGCUAAAAUUGUAUUCAGUGUCUGUCUCUGUUAGUUCCCAAAACUGUAUAUUAAUCUUCUACUUUGGCUAUGGAUUUGCUUUCACUAGUCUUGAGGAAAACUAAAGUUCAAUAUUUAACAGUAGAAGAGCUCAACAAUUAGUCAGCUAAGUGGAUUUUGGUCUUUCUUGCAUCAACUGUCCGAAACAGCAGCAAUCAUGUCUUCAAGUAGAAACCCAUUUCUUUGUAUUUUUAAAAACUCAGAAUCACUAAUCAAAAACUUGUUAUCUGAUAAAGCUUUCCAAAAGGUGAGAGCUAGUUCUGUACAAAAUACAUAAUUAGUCAUUAAUUAUUCUUUUCCCCCACUGCUCUUACAUCAGCUUAAUUAAAAACAAACCCUCCUUAGAAGAACAUCUGAUACAUUCUCUCCCAAGUUUUCAUUUAUAGUGUCUCUUCUUAUGUUUGGCUUGCGCCAGAUUGUGGAAGAAAUCUACAACUACUGGCUCGUAAUCUGGCAUCUUUCCAUAACCUGCAAAUGGAUUUUCAAAGUUCAUUUCUCUGCUUCUCUGACAAAAAUCAUAUUUAAAUUACACAGAAGGUUCAAAUACAAACCAGGAAAAUAAUUGAUGUCAAUAACAGAAAAGACAUUCUUGCUCCCAUGUUCUCUGAUCAUGUCUAUGUUGAAAAGCCGAAGUCCCUAUCAAAAUACAAAGCAGCAAAAGAUUAAAAACAAAACAAAAGAAACAGACUUGCAGGGGAGGAAUGGGAGGAAGCGGCAAAUUUUUAUACCAAUAAGGUUCGCAGCUCUUUCACAAGUGCCUCAAGGAAAGGCUUUGGAGGCAGCUCAGCAACGCUAGGUUCCAAGUCUGCAUUAUCCGCUGAAGCAGCAGCAGAUGAAACCCUCGGGAAUUUGAAGACGCCAUUAGCUUUGGCUUUUUCGCAGUUACUACUCACGUUUGGUAGAGAGAACCGUCUCACCACUUUUAUAAUAUCACCCACCACAAAGACCUUGAACAUUACUCCACCUUCAUGCACCAAAACAAAUGAAUAAAGGAUACAUUCGGUAUUUUACUAAAUGUGUUAAGGUAAAACCACAAAUAGUACCAUGAUUAACAAACUCUUGCAGGACUAAAGGCGGUUCAAGUUCUGCCAGUGAGUGCUUGUCAUAAGCUAAGAACAACUGAUGUGACUUUGCAGUUCCAUCGAUCCAGAGUGGCUUUGCAACUGGGACAAAAAUCAAGUAAGUUUAAGAUCCCAAUCAUAUUAUUUGCUCACAAUCAUCAUUUAAUGUGAAGUUGUUGUACCUAGUGGAAAUUUAAGACCAGCUUCCACAACUCUAUCUGCACUAGAUGCUGAAUCUUUCAAGACAACCAAUUGUUUUGGAACAUAAAUGCUGCCUACAAGGGAUUUACCAAAGCAAAGGAUUACUUAUAGAGUAGUAAGUAAAGGAAGUUCUUGAAUUCAUAAUGUUAAAGAGAAUUAUUACCACUGCAAUCUGACAGAUUCAAAUCUGCCAUACCCUGAAGCAUCGAUUGUCGAUUAUAUAUACGCUUUAUUGCACUUGGAGGAUCAAGCACAGUCACUUCAGGGUGUUUCUGCUGGUAAUCCUACAAACAUAGUAAAGCAAAUAUUGAGUUUGACGAUACAAUAUUAAUCUACGUGUAUGUAAGAAAAUUAAAAAAUUCUCAAAAGUCCAAACCUCAAUAACGUCUUGCCACUCUUUUCCCAGUAGCUGCAAGUGCACAAUCAUAUAAUUCAUAAGAUUUCCAGCAAAUAAAGAAAAGGUUCAUCUGAAAGCAUUCUUGGUUCCCACAAACCUUAUGCAAAACGACAUCAAAAGGCCCUUGUUCAGAAAGUGGACGGUUCAAAUCGAUGGGGACAAAGCAGAUGCCUUUUCUCCUAAAAUAGACACACAGGUAGUACUGUUAGCGCUUUGUCAAAAAAAAAACUCCACUAGAAUAAGAAAAAAGAAUGAAAGCUAUGGUUUGAUUAGAAAGAAGCAAAAGAAAUCUAACUACAAAAACCCUUUGCUUGAGAGAUUCUAGAACACAAUAUUAUAAGCAGAAUCAGUCAUUGUUUAAUUUAAAACUACCCAUGUGGCUGAAGAAGAUCUCCAAGCAAUAGAAAAAAGGCAAAACAUCAAAAGUUAAUUAUUUUUUUCUGUAGAAGGCUUAAAGUCAAUCUUCAACAGAGACUAAUCCAAAAGGAUUUAUUCAAAGGAAUAUUCCCCAUAGAAACAAGGUUCCAGAUACCUCAAGUAUACUAAUAAGUGCAUGUCUAAGCAAGGACUCAUAAAGGACAAAAGACAGUAGCUAGUGGCUAUGGUCCUCCACAACAGAAUCAUGCUAUACCAAAACAAGAGCAAGGAAACAAGAACCAAAUCUAGUUAAAAUGUCAAAAGUCCUUUUGAAAAUUUGAAAAUGAAGAGUGGUCUCAGGAAAAGAAACACACACACACUUGAUUAUCAGACAAGCCACUUGUGUUAUGUUUCAUUACCUAGCCAUGAAUUCAAGCUUGGGCUGCAAGAAACUCUUCUUCUUCUUGGGAGUCAGAGCGUACCCCACAACAAGUUUCUGCGUCUGCUGAAACAGAGGCCGCUCGACCUGAAACGGCGCCGUUUCGGCCACCACUUCUCGGUUUUCCUCAGCGCCGCGUGGCACCAAGUUCUCGCCUUCCAAUCUCAUACCGAUGUCCUCAAAUCCGCCGCAGGAGAACCCUAGAUUGCACGUUAUCCUCAAAUCACGCCUCAAUCUGGCGGGUUCGAUAUCUCCGGAAGCGAGAGUCCCAAACAUUUUCUAGAGAGAGAGAGAGAUGGGUAAGAAGAAAGGUAGAUCCUUUUUAAGAUCCUAGGCUCUGCUCUACAGUUUCAGGCUGCUGAUUAACGAGAAGAGAGCGAGAGAGUAAGAGAGAGAUGCGCUCGACACUAUACGUGUUCGGUCACAAGUUCAGAGGCGAGAGAAAUGAGAUUUGUGAGAAUGUUGGGGGAGAGAUUAGACUCGGAAUCAUGUAUUUAUAGAAGAAGAAAAAGAGAUAUUGAAUGAAUUUUGCAAGAAUAAAGAUAUGUUAACAGUGAAAAUGGUCGUUCCCUAAAGCUUUGCUGAUAUAUUUUUUUUUUUGUUUUCUAAAACAUAAAGACACUGUAGCUGCCAGAGUUUCUCCAAAACGACAAUACUUUAAUUCUAUCUUUAGUUCUUUACUAACCUUUUUUCGAAUUCCACCUAAUUUGUUGUGAAUGAAUUCCACGUAGUCUCUACAUCAAUCCGUAUUAUAAAAGCAUGAAACAAAUAUUUUCAUACAGUAUGUGUGUGACAAAUCAUAUCAUUAUCCCAUCACUACUACCAAUAACAAUGAAUCGCUUACUGUUUUCUUUUCUAAUAAAACGAACUGGAUACUGUUUUGGUGAUGAACAAUUACAAAAGUACGUGUUAACAUAUGGCCAUAGACCACUAUGACAUAGCUAACAUCUUGAUAUGUAUAUGUAUCACUAGUAUUUGAGUUUCAUGCACUUCCCUUUAAAAUAACUAACUUUGAUAUCAUCGUACAAGUUGUAAUACUAAAUUCGUUAUAGUAGCGAGUUUUUGGUUGAACCUGGUGGUCCGAAGAACCAUAUGGAUGAUGUCUUAAUGUCAUCUCUGUAAUAUCUUCAAAAUUCGUAAAUAUGUUAUUUGUAAGAUUUGAAGGGGGGGGGAAUCAAACAUGAAGAAUGAUAGUUUAAAUAUAAUUUAUUUUUUUGUAUAAUUUAACAAUACGUUAACGUCUAGAGAGAAAAGCUUUGCCCACCUUUUUUGGUAUGAAAGCUUUCCCCACCUGAUGUUGAGCAAUGGUGUGUGUUUGAGAAAGUCUUUUUCUAAAAUGUUUUCUGCGUUUAUUUGUCGCAAUGAUAGAUAAUUAAUUGUUCUUCUUAUAUAAUAAAUCGCUGACUUUUUAGGUGAAAAAAGAGUUGCCAUGAGUUCCAGAGGGACUGUGGUGGCCUCUUGAGCAGGCUCGAAGCCUAGAGUUGGAGGCUAUUAUAGGGUUCUACGGUACUCGAUUUGACUAGUUUUUUUUUUCUUUGAUUUUUGAAGACGCUGAAGCUCUGGAUAAGCUUGUUUGUUAAUAUAAUUGUUCACACCCGCAUGCAUAUUUGAUAGUAAUCAAUCAUACGUGCCCACUACUGAAAUUAUUUUAAGAACUUUGAUAUCUAUCGAUUUGUUUAUUGGUAGUUUGAUACACACAAAAGUUGAGAUAAAGCAAUUAAUAUUUUAUGAUAUGGAAAAGCAAAUGUUGCAAAAUGUCUAACAGGUAACUUGAAGAUCUUUUUCUGGUGAGUCAGGUCUUAGAUCACAUUUAAUUAAAAAUACUAAAUUGUAAAGGUUAAGUCUAUUGAUUUCCAACUUAUAUCAUAUUUUAACAUAGUAUAAUAAGUUGUUGAUAAAUGUAAUUUACUUUACAGGAAUAUAUAUCUAUACACAACAUGCGAGGGAUCGGAAUAUGCUCUCUUUAUUAGGCAGAAGAGUCUCUUGUUUCUCGCAGAGUUUAGAUAGAUUAACCAAAUAUUAAAUUACAUAAUCAUUGCUUCAUUAGUAGUAAACCUUGGUCAUGUUUACAAUAAGCUAUUUAGCUAUCAUUCACAAUAGUUAAAUAUUCAUGUUUCAUAUCUUGAAAUAUUAAUAACCAUUAUAUAUAGGUAUUUUGUAUAAAAGAUUAUAACUCUAGCAUGAUAUUUAUUACUAGGUAUUAUUUUGAUUUCAUAUACCAGUCAUUUUCUGUUUUGUGUUUAGAUUACAAUAAUACAACUCCGAAUAUGUUGUUUUGACCUAAUACUUUAGAUAGAUUAGGUUUUGUUUUCAACUGAGAUGUAAAACAUGUGAUUCUGUAAUUCAUUUGCAUAUGGUGCAGAUAGAAUACGAUACUUGAUGCUAUAGAUAUACAUACAGUGACAUGACUUCUCAGGUGCUGACGAUUAACUAAUUGUCGAAUCAUAUACCGAGUUGACUAUCUCUCUGGUCGGACAUAUAUAUGUGAUCGUUGCUAACAAAGUAAUGCAUAUGCUUUUAUUCUACUACAUCUGACAGUUGACUUCCAUAUAAGAGUCUAGUUCUCUAUUGUUGGUGAAUGGAAUAUUUGUAUACGUGAAGGUGAGGAAAAAAUAAAACUUAUCUGUACAUGGAGAUUAUGCAGUUAUACUUAUUCGACUGAUCGUUACGUACAAAGCAAUGCAUAGGCGAGAUGUUCAUCUAACAUGAGUGUUCUUUCACCUAACAUAUUUGUUUUUUUUUUUUUCAGUUGGUCAUAGGGAAGAAAUCCGCAAUGUUAAAAAUGUAUGUAACUUUCACAUUAAGGUGAACUACUAUAAAUCGUGUGUAUCUUCUCUAAUAUUGUUUUUUGACUGAUGUAUCUUCUAAUCAUGUACUAAAUUAUUUUUAUAAGAGUCUGGAUUUGGGAUCCAAAUCAAUACUAAAGUUGACGAUGCUGCCCGACAUAUAUUUCUUUUUAUUCUUACAAGCCGAUGCGUAUAUCAUCUAUAUUAUUAAAACUGAAGUACCUUUUUUUUUUUUUUUCUAAAAAGCCGAUGCGUAUAUCAUCUAUAUUAUUAAAACUGAAGUACCUUUUGGUACUGUAUGGAAACUUAGAUAGUAGAUUAAAUGAAAGUUGUUUGGAAACAAGUAUAGCAGAUUAAAUAUUUUUUUAUUUACAUAUUUAGUCACUGUAUUUCUUUCUCCUUUACAGAUUUUGUCGGUUGGAAACUUGGAUAGAAGAUUAAAUGAGAAUUGUUUGGAAACACGGAUAGCACAUUAAAUAUUUUUUUUAUUUACACAUUUAACCAUUGCAUUUCUUUCUUAUUUACUAAUCUGUCGCUUCACUUAAAAUCUAAUAUCAUAAAAUUAAUAAUAAUUCAUAAAAACCUACUGUAAAAAAUUAAAUUAUUUUUAAAUAAAUAAACAAAAAAAAAUCAAUAGGUUAAUUUAUGAAUAUUACAAUUACAUCAAAUUGCAUCCAUUAUAAAAUUAUAAAUAUAAGAUUACGUACAUAUAAAAAAUUGUUAUCAAACAUCUAUAUUAUAAUAUAAUAUAUUCUACUCUAAAUAUAUUUUACAAAACAUAAAAAUAUAAAUGGACAUUUUAUCAAAUAAAUGGUUUAUAAAUUUACAUUGAAUGCAAGUUAAAUCCAACACCCGCGCGAGGGCGCGGGGCCAGAGCUAGUUUUUAUUAUUACUAAAAUGUGUUUAUUUAUUUUGAAAAUAGAAUAUAUAUAUAUAUAUAUAGACAAAUUGUAUGCAGCACCUGGUAUGUAUAAUACUAUGCAUGGUGUUGUGUUGUCUCUGUGUAUAUAUGUGUACCACUAAGUGCGAAUAAAAGGUACAUAAGAACAUCAAACUUAAAAAUGCAUCUUAGUGGAAUUUCAUACACCCACUAAUCUUUUGGCAUUAUUGUCGACUUUUAGCCUUUUGUGGGUGUUUAGUUGGUUUUUGUUUUAGGUGCAAUAAAUGCUUAUGUAUCGUCAUUUGUAAAUGCAUUAGAACAUAUCCUCCGCUUUUAAUAUCAACUUUAUAAACUUCUCUUCUCUAUAUAUUGUCAAUAUAUUCUUUAACAAUAAGUAAUAACAAAACAAAAUGUUUUAUAACUGAUCUCCCUUAUGAGGUCUCUCGUUUCAAAUUCCAUUCCUGAAUACAUUAUGAUUAUGAGUGAGUAUAUUAUAUGGGACAUUUGCUAAAACUAACCCAAAUAUUCAAGUCAAAUGUAAAAGUAUACCUUACUUUCAGUCAAAUGCAAAACCAACCUAAAGGAGUAAUGAAAGUACUAUUUAACCCUUAUGACCAAACAAAAAACAGAAAUGUAUUUUACGUUUUUAUCCUUUGCAAGUCUACAUGUAAUAAAAGAAGUCUACAUAUAUAUAGACUUCCUACGAAGUCUACUUUAUAGACUUGUUUUGUAGUCUACACUCUAAUUUGAUCUAAUAAUUUAAUUUUAAAAAUGUAUAAAAAUAAUUAUUGUGAUAUUUUUAACUAAUCAUCAAUAUAAUGGAUAAUAUGAAGUAAAUAAAUUAAAAUUUCAUAUAAUCGAACAAUUUUGAAGAAUAUAUACUAAUUUAGUUAUCAUGUGUUAGACUAUGUUCAUAGUUUAGAAACAAAAGGUUCUAACAUGUUAUGUCUUUUAGUAGUUGAUUUCAUAGGGUUAGAUUUUAGAUUUUGUUUUUUUUUUGUUUUAUUAACUUAAAUCUGCAUACUAAUGUUUAGUAGUUUAUAUUUUGUAUAAAUGAGACUUUUUGAUUAUCAAGCAAAACAUUUAGGGUUUGAGAUUUGUGGUUUAGGGUUUCGUAGACCUACAAUAAAGUCUAUUUAUCUGAAGACGUCUUUUUCAGUCUAUAUUUUUCAAUUUGUUUUACAAAAAAUCAUUAUAUUUAAACUAAGUUAAGUUUCUUACGAAUAAAAAAGUGAAAUCAUAUACUAUAACUAUUAAAAAAUAAAAAAAUAAAUUUAAUAAAUCAUAUAUUAAAAUUACUAAAAUAAUAAAGAAUAAAUAACAAUAAUUAAAUUAUUAUAGUAGACUUCCAAAAAGGUCUACUAUGUUAUAGUAAGAUCUACUCCAAAAUUUUAAUUUUAGUAGACUUCAAACGAAGUCUACAGUAUCGUAAAUUUUAACCUAGUUACAUUUGUGUCUCCCUAUAUAAACAAAAUUUAUACAAUCUCUCUCUAAAGUGGCUGCACAAGUUUUUAAAACUCUCUCCCUUCUCUCUAAAACUUUCUCUCUUCUCUCUAAAAUUCUCUCAAUUGUUUCCAAAUCUCUCUCAUUAUCUUCUUUCUCUCUAAAAUUUUCUCAAGUCUUUCUCACAAUAUUAUCUUGUCAUUUUAGAUAUUAUGAUUCAUGGUUUUCAUCUUCUCCUUUAAAAAAUGUAAGUUUUAGAUCUAUAGAUUUUAAAUAUGUAUUUUUAUGUUUAUUUCUCACAAUAUUAUCUUUUUUUGGUAGGUAUUAUCACUCAUGGAUUUCAUCAUCUCCUCUAAAAAUGUAAGUUUUAGAUUAAUAGAUUUUAAAUAUGUAUUUACAUGUUUAUAUUCAAAUAAAUUUAUAGAUCAAGCUCUCUACAUUAAUUUGCUACUAGUUUACCUUAUAAAUUCUAUUAUGUAAAGUAUUUUCAGAUUUAAAAUUAUUUUCACAUUUCAAAAUAUAUAGAUUUUUUCAGAUCUGAAAAUUAUCAGACAGUGUAGACUUCUAAAGAAGUUUACUAAAGCUUGCAGACUUCAUAUGAAGUUUACUAAACCACAAAGUUUAAGCAUACUUCAUUGGAAGUCUACAAAAAUAUGACUUUAAUUUUUUUUCUAUGUUUUUUAAUAAUUUUAUCUUAUUUUGCAGGUAUUUUCUUCCAUAGUUGUUCUCUUCUCCUCCUAGAAAUGUAAGGUUUACAUCUAUAGAUUUAAAAAAUGUGUUCUAGUAUUUAUAUUCAAAUAAAGUUACAUAUUAAAAUUCAUAUUAGUAUGUCUUUAAUUUAUAACUAUUUUGCCUACUAAAUCAUAUUUUUAAAAGUUUUUUAGAUUUAAACUUAUUUCAUAUUUUUAGUGUAUUUAUUUUUCAGAUCUAUUUUUCUUUAUAGAGUAGACUUCAUUUGAAAUCUACUUAAAACUUACGGCUGGUAAGUCUACUAGCCUUGACUUUUAAGCAUAUUUCAUUAGAAGUUACUCAAAUAUGAUUUUAAUUUUUAUCUUAUUUUUCAUAAUUUUAUUUUAUUUUGCAGGUAUUCUCUUCCAAUGUUUUCAAAUCAUCUUCCCAAAAAUGUAAGCUUUCCAUAUAUUCAUUAUAAGAUAUUUUAUGUUUAUAAUGAACUAAAUUUAUAGAUUCAUACAUUAUCUUUUUGCUUUCUUACAAGGAUGACAAAAAAACUAUUUUUAAAAUAUUUUCCAGAACAAAGUAUUUUCUAAUUUUCUAAAUGCACACUUUUAGAUAUGAAAAUUUUCCAUUAGUGUAGAUUUCAACUAAAGUCUACUAAACAAUAACUUUAGGUAGAUUUAAUAAAAAGUCUACUAAAAUAUGAUUUCAUUUUUUAUCUUAUGUUUUUCUCAUAACUCUAUCUUAUUUUGCAGGUACUUUUUCCAAGACUUUAUUUGAAGCAUCAAGAUUAUGAAAAAUCAAACAUACUCAAUAAUACUUUUUAAUAUAUUGCUUUGUAAUAACUUUCAUAAUAAAAUAUUAAUUUUUAAAUAAUUUUUUAAUGCAUAAUCUAUAAACAUUGUAUUCAUUUUUAGUUGUUUUCACUUGUAUGAUAUUAUUAAUUUUUUGUUAGAUAUCAAUUUUUUCACAAGAUCUAACCAACCAAACAAGUAAAACCACCAUAAGAUAAAAUAAAAACUAACAUACAUGUGAGAAGAAGAAAAUCUAUACAAAAUUUUCCCAAAAAUUUUUCAAGAAUAACACUAAUCAAAACAAUUUGCAAUAAGUAUCAAGUGUAUAAUUAUAACACAUUAAAUUGUGAAAUUCAUCCAAGACCAUUAAAAUUUUAUUAACAUACACUGUAAAAUAAUUAAAUCAUGAAAAAAUAUGAUGAAUAAUACACAAAUACACUUUUAAUAGAAUUUACGACAUAGACUUCAACUGCAGUCUACAUUUGUAGAUUUACAAAAACGUCUACACUUAUUAUCUAAAAUAUAGUCAAUCCAAAAAAAUUUAGUGUAUUUGACACAUGCUUGAUACACAAAGGCGUACAAAGUGUGUCUUAGAUAACUCGAUCAAGUUCCAUACUUGUCGAUUAUUCGUGACAGGCAUAAGAGGAGUAUUUCCUAUUCGGAGUCAUUUGUUUUAAAUGAUGUUUGGUAAGGAAUAUGUUAGCACCAUCUUCUCAAUUUUGUUGUCCAGAUCAUAAUCUUCUUGUGUCAUUUCAAGAAGUUUACCAUGUGUACAGCCAUCAUGCACAAGAAACAUUCUUCAACCUUUCCGAUUCUUCAUCCUUUUCGAAUAUUUUGUCAUCCAAAAUGUCUUUGACCCAUGCUUCACACUCGCUCUAAGUUUCCAACCACAUCCUUGAACACGACACUUAGCCACAUACAGAGUUUUCGUUGUCUUAUAUGCUGAGAAUGUAAAUUUAUAUUCCACAGUCACCGACUUCAGCUUUAAAACAAGUUCAGCCUUAUUAGCAAAACUAUAAACGAAGACUUACAAAUACGUCUACAAUUAUUAGCUAACAACAUUGUCAAAUUAAAUGAAUUAUACCUUCAUAAUUAUAAAAAAAAUUCUUUUCAAAAUCACUCAAACCCAUUAGGAUUAACUAACACACACUGUCAAACAAAAAAAACUAGAAACAAUUUAAUGAAUAAUACACAAAUUCACAUUUUUAUAGAUUUUUCUAUGCAGACUUAAUAUUCAGUCUCUAAAGAUGUAGACGUUCUUUUCAGUUUACAGACGUAGACUGUCAAAUAGGUCUACUCUUCGGGUUGGUUUUUGCAAUUGACCAUUUUACGGGUUGCUUUCUAUAGUUGAAUAAAAGUUGUGAUUUUGUACAUGUAGACUUUCAUUUCAGUCUACAAUUUAAAAAGGUUACUUUUUGCAAUUGACCAGAAUUCAUCCAAGAUUUGACUUUCAGAACUAGACUUCAUAUGCAGUCUACAUAUUUGAAUUUUUUUGAAAGAGGUUAGUUUUGCAAUUGACCAAGUUUGACUUCAAAUCAGUAGAUUGAAAUGAACGUCUACGGGUGUGUAGACUUCUUGUGAAGUCUACUCUCAAAUCCGACGGGUUGGUUUUGCAUUUGACCAAAAUAAAAAAGUAGACUUUAUACGCAAUCUACAUUUCUUUUUUUAAGAUAAGAAGACUGCAUAUGAAGUCUACAAUUUAAUAAAUUUUUGAUUGCUUUUUAAACUUUUUGGUCAAACACAAAACUAACCUAUUCCACGAAGUCAAAGUUUUGGUCAAAUGUAAAACUGACAUUUUAUAGACUUCGUUGGCAGUCUACAUUUUGUAGACCUCCGUUGAAGUCUAUUUUGAAAAGUCAAAAGUUCGGUCAAAUGAAAAACUAACCUCUUUUAGGUAGACGUCUUAGUAAGUCUACCGAAAAUUUUAUUUUUGUUGUCAAAGGUAAAGACGGAGACUACUGGGGAAGUCUGCGUUAGAAAAAAAAAUUGUCUGGUCAAUUGCAAAACUAACCCGUGCGUUGACAAAUAGACUGCAUCGUAAGUCUCCACGGAGGCGUAGACAUACAAAACAGUCUACCGUCGCGACACAGAUCUGAAAAAGAACGAAAACCAUGUAAAUAAUUACCUUUUUCAUGUGUAAAGCUCGUUUCCAACAUUUUCAACCGUCCAAACUCCAAAUAUGAGCAAAAAGAAGCAUCUUUAACGAUUCACUAAUGAAGAAACUCGAAAAUAUGAAGUUUAUGAUUAUGAAAAUGAUAGUUAUGAGAGUUUUUUAGAUGGAAAUGUAGAGGAGAUGAGAAGAAAUGAAGUUUUUUGGGUUAGAAUGAGAAAAAAAAGUGGUUGAAAAUUGAAUUCUAGAGCUUUAGAGCUCAAAAAUGGUGGUUCAUGGUGGUUGGAAAAAUUGAUGAUGAUGGCAUUUUUGUAAAUAAGAACAAAUGGUUGGGGUGUAUUUGGUUUUUUGUUAAUUUCGAAAUUAAUAAAAAAAUAAAUAAAAAUGGCAAUUUUGUGAAUAAUUCAAAAACAUAAGGAUAAUAUGGAAAUUUUAUUGAUGAAUAGUAUGGACAAAAAAAAAGGGUUGGUUUUGGGUUUGACUUGAAAAUAUGGGUUGGUUUUGAAAAACACCCAUAUUAUAUUAAGCUAACAACAAAUCCAAUAGAAGGCAAAGAUUUGUAGUCUUGGGAGCUGGCAUAUAAAUCAAGCCGAAUCUUAACCGAAUUUUUUAUAUCAUCAAAACCAAAAAAAAAGUGAUUUGUAUAUAGACAUGUUUCAUUAUUUUUAUACAAAACAACAAAACCACCCCUCUAAGAGCAUGUACAUUGAGGUAUCAUAAGAGGGUCAUGGACCUGGGUUCACAGGUUUUUAAUUUGAAAAAAAAAAGGAAAAUGGGUAAUAUUAAGUGAACCGGGCCUCUGUCGUGAACUUGUGUGAGACGAGUUCAACACACGUGGAGCCACCGGAUUGGCUGGACGGAGUCGUGAUGACGCGCCGCAAAUGAGGUGUUUCGCGUUAUUCUCUUCAUUUUCUCUUCUCUCCCAAAUAGCUAGGGUUUGCGACUCGAGAGGCGAUUCUUGUAGCUAGGGCGAUCGAGAGGUCUUUUGUUCAUAAAAUCGAGGAGGGAGUGUCUUUGAAUUUCAAAAUUUCUAGAACACAACUUCUGAAACACUUGAUCAACUACUUCUCUUCCUUGAUGUCUUUGUGAAACACUUGAUCAACUACAAACGAAGAGGACAACUUCACAACUACGCUUAUACUGCCUCACCCAACCGAGAACAACACAAGCAACGUAAGCUCUUAAUUACAUUAUAAUACUUAGGUUAAACGAGAUUUUAAUUUUUAAGUGAUAAUUUUAAUUUUUUAAAUCGUUGCACUCGUUAUAAUUUUAAUUACAUUAUAAUUUUAAGAGAAAAAAAAUGAUAAUUUGUUAUAUUUUGGAGUAGGGAAUAAAAUUGAUAAUUUGUUAUAUUUUGGAGUAGAGAAUAUAUUUGAAAAUUUGUUAUAUUUUGGAGUAGAGAAUAAAAAUGAUGAUUUGUUAUAUUUUGGACUAGAGAAUAAAAAUGAUAAUUUGUUAUAUUUUGGAGUAGGGAAUAAAAUUGAUAAUUUGUUAUAUUUUGGAGUAGAGAAUAAAUAUGAUGAUUUGUUAUAUUUUGGACUAGAGAAUAAAAAUGAUAAUUUGUUAUAUUUUGGAGUAGGGAAUAAAAUUGAUAAUUUGUUAUAUUUUGGAGUAUAGAAUAUAUUUGAUAAUUUGUUAUAUUUUGGACUAGAGAAUAAAAAUGAUAAUUUGUUUUUGGAGUAGAGAAUAAAAUUGAUAUUUUUUUUUCCAAAAAAGAAAGAAUGUCAAGCUCCUCAAAUGAUGAAGUAUAUGAAGUUUUUGAGGAAAUGGUGGACCAACAAAUCGAUGAUUUCAUCGACUCUGUUCUAACCAAAGAGCCGAAGAGACGAGUAUACAUCGAAAGAGAUCGGGAACAAGGACACAAUCAACUAUGGCAGGAUUACUUCAGUGAAAAUCCUACAUACACACACGACAUGUUUAGGCGGCGUUUUCGAAUGAACAAGUCUUUGUUCCUUCGCAUUGUCGAACGCCUAGGUAAUGAAAUUCUAUACUUUCAGCAACGAAGAAAUGGUCAUGGAAGGAACGGCCUCUCUACACUUCAAAAAUGCACUUCAGCCAUCCGAUCGUUGGCAUACGGUCACGCGGGCGAUGUCAAUGACGAAUAUCUCCGACUUGCUGCAAGUACUGCAAUUUUAUGUUUGGAGAAUUUUGCAGAAGCGAUAAUACUUUUGUUUGGAGAGGAGUAUCUAAGAACACCUACAACAGAAGAUCUUCAAAGACUACUUGACGCUGGAGAGGCACGCGGGUUUCCGGGGAUGAUAGGCAGCAUCGAUUGUAUGCAUUGGGAGUGGAAAAACUGCCCAACGGCUUGGAAAGGUCAGUUCACACGUGGUUCAGGAAAGCCGACAAUUGUCUUAGAAGCUGUGGCAUCACAAGAUCUUUGGAUAUGGCACUCAUUUUUCGGAUUACCAGGUACCCUUAACGAUAUCAAUGUUCUUGAUCGGUCACCAGUUUUUGAUGACAUUUUACAAGGUCGAGCACCUAAAGUGAAGUUCAAGGUCAACAGCCACACUUAUCGUAUGACCUACUAUCUGACCGAUGGAAUUUAUCCUAAUUGGGCAACAUUUAUCCAAUCCAUCCCGCUUCCUCAAGGUCCUAAAGCCCAGAAAUUUGCAGAAAGACAAGAAUCAGUCAGAAAAGAUGUCGAACGGGCAUUUGGAGUCUUGCAAUCGAGGUUUGCAAUUGUAAAAAACCCUGCUCUAAAAUGGGACAAGGAAAAGAUAGGAAAGAUAAUGAGAACGUGUGUCAUAUUGCACAAUAUGAUAGUCGAGGAUGAACGACACGGAUACACUCUAGCUGAUACAUCUGAGUUCGAGUCAGGAGAAUCUAGCCGAAGUGCGAAGGUGAAAACGAGAGAAAGUGUGAAUGUCGAUAUGCUUAACAUUCGCAAUCAAAUUCGGGAUCCAAGCGUACAUGAGCGUUUGAAAGCUGAUUUAGUUGAAAAUGUUUGGGAAAAAUUUGGUAAUCGUGAUGAAUAAUCUUUCUCUGUUCAUGAUUUUUCAAUGUAUUGAAUAAAAACUUUUCAUAAAUAAUGUAAAAUAUUUAUUGACCAAAAAAAAAUAAUAAUAAUAAUGUAAAAUAUUUAGUAACUUUCUUAAAAAAAAAAAAAUCUUUUAAUAAAUAAUGUAAAAUAUUUAUUGACCAAAAAAAAAUAAUAAUAAUAAUGUAAAAUAUUUAGUAACUUUCUUAAAAAAAAAAAAAUUUAAAACAAAUGUUUAUAUUAAUUUUUUUUUUUAAUAUUAUUUUAUUCCUAUGAACCCGGAUUUAAGGUUCAUUGAUGGAGGAGCACAAUUGAUCCGGGUUCAACACUGUUCACGAGCCCACAAUUAAAUACAUAAAAAAUACAUAUGAACCCCAAUAGGGGGUUCAUUGAUGUACAUGCUCUAACCUGUAAACUUAUGAAACUCCGUGAUUCAUUUGUACUUUUCUUGGACUCUAUGUAUAGACUAUACAGCCAUAACCCAAAUAUACGACCGCAGACCACCCCCAAGAAAAUAAAAUCUCGUAGAUAAUUAAUCUAACACCCUUUUGUAGUCGGGGUAGGUGUUCCGAUUAUGAGUAUGUAAUGGUAUUAUAGAAAUACGUCUAUGCACUCUCAGGUUCAACUUUGGACCAAGAGGUGGUGUGUGUUUAUCGUUUUAAAUAUCAAGAUAUGAAAUUAUCUCCAAAAACUUCAAACUGUAGCUUCUUGGUUAGCUUGUUUGUAACCUUCCCUUUGUUGCAUCAGAGAAAAGAAGUUAAGUUAGGAAUUGCGAAGCCUUGCUUGAAUGGUAAAUGGUAUGAUUCUGAAUAUGGUUUUGUUUAUUUAGAAAAAUAAGAUACAGUGUCAUCGAAUCACAUCAUUGGAAAUUUGGAAUGCUACAAACAUUACAUUCUUUUACUUAGUAAAUCAUCAGACAAUGCCAAAGAACAUCAUAUCCAGUGUAACUCACUCCUUUCUGAUUCUAAAAUCAUCUGUGGUUUUUAUUGUCUUCCAAGAGCCUAAACCUAUUUUGGCUCUCAAAAGUCAGAAACUAAACUUGAUAAAGUGAAAUACUCAAGAAGCUGGCUGCACCCCGUUCCAUGCACGCGGGUCAUCAGCAAGUUCAUUGAUCCUGUUGUUGCGGCUUUCUUGUACGUAUGCUACACCAGCCCAAAGUCCCCGUAUAAAUAGAAUGCUCGUAAAUACAAUAGUCCCAAGUGUGCAAGCUACCUGUAUUCCACCACAAAAAUUACAUUAAAACCCAAUCAACAUGAAAAGCUAACAACACUACUUUACGCUAAGAAACACAAAAAAAAAUGUCUCUCUUGAAGACAUAAAAACACUGAAAAAUAUGCAAAAGGACUGAUCCAAACACCUAUAAAGAUAACUAAAAUCCAGAGACUUUACAAAUUAAAUACAGAAGGGAGAUUCAAAUGUGAAAGAAAGAAGAUCCAUUACUAGCCUCUUCCAUUCUGAUAUGUGUGAGUAAAAUAAAAACAGAGAGAGGCGGUGUUCAAUUUGAGUUAAGUAACGUUUUCUAUAUCAUUGAGUUUGUAUAUGCCAUAAAAAUAGAUUCACUACAACAACUGAACUCAUUAACACUAUCCUCUCUCUUUUCAAAGUUAUUAUAGAUACAGACUUCUACCAUAGUCAGUGAAUCCAAUUACGAACAUAUAGCAAUCAAGUAUAACGAAACAAAACAAUCAACUCCAGGACUAAAGUUAUUACCUCGAGAAAGGCCUUCAAGAUCCAUAAAAAUGCAAGUAUAAGUACGCCGUUCACUGAGAAGCCCACCUAAAUCGAAACAAAACAAUCAGCAGAUGCAGAGAACUUGCUGAGAUCUUAAAUCAGAUUAGAGUGAUCAUCGAAAGUUCGAGACUUUACCAGCUUGGUGGAGAUGGAAACAGGCAAAACAGAUCGGACGGCUUUCCUUGCUCGCUUCGAAACUUUUCUGAAGACGUUCUCGACGAACCGAAGUAAAAGAUCCAAGCUUCUAUCUUCUUCUUCUUCCUCCUCCUCCUCCUCGUCUUCGUCCUCUUCGUAAUCCUCAUCGAUCCCAUACUCCGGUUUGAUCUUCCGGUUCCAGCUCCGAUCACCGUCUACGAAACCAUCCCUCCUCCCCUGUUGAAACACAUAAACAGUUCAGACACUGAAUCGUGUUAGGCACACAAUCUAAAGCAAAGGAACAUACGUUGAUGAAGUCGCGGGGUCGCCGGGAAGCAAAAAGGGAAGUGCAAGGAGGAUCACGGGUUCUGGAGAUGAUUAGGGUUUUGGGAGUGGAGAUGAAGAAGGAGAGAGGCGAUCGUGAUCGGGUUGAGAGAAGAGCGAGAGAAGACGGCGAUGAUAUUGAUGCGGACAGUGGCAUCGUUUGUUACGCAUCAGGCAGUUCUGUUUUUUUUUUCUCUCUCUCUCUGUGUUUUGUAAUAAAAUGUUUACUUCUUUAAUGAUAUUUUUUUAUCUUGGGCCACGUUUAGAUGGACCAUAAUACAAUCAGGCCCAUUAGGUUUGGUUAAUCAUAAAUAUUGUAUCCAACGUGAACCUCGUGUUAUUAAUUUUUUUCCAACGACGACAUCCCUUAACACACGACGGAAAAAUAUCGUAAUAAAUGCGUUCGCACUAAACUGAAUUUAUAUUAAAAUGGACACAUGUCAUAUGUAGAGAAUUUCUCAGGCAAACUCUACAUAAAUAUGUUCACACUAUGUAUUUUACGUUUUUUAAAUAUAAAACUUACGGUUCUUCUUUACGUCAUUUUUACUAUUUAUGAAUAGAAUUGGACAAAUUAUUUAUAAAUUUUGAUUUGAUUCGUUAUCCGUUUUGAUUCGAACCGAAAAAUCCGGAUAUCUUUUACUCUACGAAGCAAAUCAAAUACUAAAAUGUAGUAUCUGUAAAAAAAACAAAUCACAAAUAUCAAAAUUUAUAGGAACGGAUAUCCAAUAUGAUCUGUUAUAUGCAUAUAUAUAUAUAUACAUAUAUUAAAAAAAUAUAUAUAAGUUAUAUAUUAUAGUUUAUAUAAAUUUACAAUAUUUUUUAAAAAAUAAUUUCAUUUUAAGAAUUUUAUUUUUCAUGUAUUAUUUUGAACAAAAUGCCAUUUAAUAUUAAUUAACAGUAUCUUUAUAUAUUUAUCAACUAUCUUUAUAUACUUUUACAUACACAUACAUGUGCAUAUUGACGUGAACACCUUAUAACUAAGUAUUUACCACAACUGAAAUACCUAAUUUUUUUGAAAGUUAAAAUAUUCUUUUUCUUAAUGCUUCUUUCACUAUCGACCAAAUUGCAGUAAAAUAAUUUGUCUUAAUAAAUUUAUUUUCUUUUUUAACUAUUAUCCGUUUAGAAACUAUAAUAUGAAACCAUUUGUUCGACAUCAUGACUAUCUAAAAUUUAUAACAUAAAAAAAACAAAUAAUAGUAAUUUUUGAUUAUCACAGGAGAAAAAAAAAUAAAAACAUCAAACAUUUUAACCGAACAAACUAAAUAAAUACUGAUUUAAAAUGAUAAUUAUAUUUUAGGAGAUUAAAAACUAAAAAACAACUUAAAACCGAACCAAUAUCCAGAUUAAACAGAUUAAUGUCUUCUUAUUGAAAAAUAACGAAACUAAUAAUCACAUUCCGCGCAAGGCGCAGGUUAUUACCUAGUAGGAUAUUUAGAUUUAUACUUUUACAUUUAGAGUUAUAUUAUAUAUUAAAGUGUUAAAGUUUUUGUUUGUUUAACUUAACAAAAUGCACCCCAUGGUAGAAAACUUACUACACUAUGACAGAAAAAUUGCAAUUGAAGUGUUGUAAACCAAGAGUAACGUACAUAAGGGAGGCUACAAAAAAAAAAGGAAAAGCUCGUUUGUGGCGAAAUUGCAAAAAAAAAAGAAAACAGAAAAAAAAAGAUUCAGAACUAUUGGAAAUUUGAGAACCUUCUUUGGUCCUAUCUCUCCAUUUUGGGUUUCUUCUAUGACACUUUUUUGCUUUAGCCCUUCAUUUCUUACAUGAAUCCAUACAAGCUUCCAAAUUGUCUAAAAUAGCUGCUCUUCAUAAAUAAAAACCACCUGCUAAUUAAGAAUGACGUUUUAGUCAGAGUUGAAUAUAUACACACACUUGGUAAAGUAAGAGUAAACAAGUAGUUAAUAUCUGAUGUAGGAGACUCUUAGAUUUACAUAACCUAAUCUAGAAGUUUUCCUUUUAUUUCAUGUUUUCUUUUUCUUAUAGGGAUUUACCUUUUUAUGUUUUAGGCUCUCUCUAUAUAAGAGAGUUUUAGGUAUUCUGUUUUGGACAUUCAUAUCUUUUCUUAUCAAUAGAAGUUUUCAAGCUUUUAUCUUUUCUGGUGGAUUCCAGAGCUUAAUAUUCGAGUUCUUGCUUGAGAGCUUGAUUUUGAUCUAAGGGUUAGUGUUUGCUAACCUUAGUGAUUUCCGACUGCGUCAAGUGGUAUCAGAGCAAGGUCUUCUCCUUCUCUUUUCGAAGCUUGAUCAGCCAUGGGUGAUCAACCAGUAACCAAAGCCGACUUCGAGGGUUUCGCAGAAGGUUUAAGGGAGGCAACCACAAACCUCACUGCCGUAACUGCUCAAUUGGCAAAUCUGGUAACUGCGUUAAAUAAUCAGGUUGUGGCUUAUCCCAAUCAGGUUAAUAACGCCGGUCAAAGAGGUGGAGAAAGAAGACCAAUUCGGGGUCAACAAGGUCGAAACAAUCGUGAAGUUGUUGUUGAUAAUUCUAGUUCAGAAGAAGAAUCAGAAGAAGAAAUAGCUGAAGGAAACCAACAAAACAAUUAUGAUUAUCGGGUAAAAGCCGAUAUUCCAUUGUUCUAUGGAACUAUGGGAGUGGAGGAGUUUCUUGAUUGGCAAAUUGAUGUUGAUCGAUUUUUUGAUGUCAUGGGCGUUCCUGAGAAUAAACAAGUUAAGAUGGUAGCUGUCAAACUGAAGAAGACUGCUGCAGUGUGGUGGGAUAAACUCGUUAUCCAAAGGCAAAGACAAAGGAGAGGACCAGUUAGGACUUGGCGUCGAAUGAAGCAAUUAAUGCUGGAGCGAUUCUUACCGGAAGAUUACGAACAAAUUCUUUACAAGAUGUAUCUCGAUUGUGUUCAAGGAAACAGAACUGUGACCGAGUACACAGCUGAAUUCUUGCGUUUCUCUGAACGCAAUGAGUUAGGCGAAACAGAGAAUCAGAAGGUGGCUAGGUACAUCAGUGGGUUAAAGGGUUCUCUUCAGGGAAAGAUGGGUUUGCAAACCGUAUGGACCGUGCAGGAAGCUUCCAGUCUAGCAUUAAAAGCUGAGUUAAUGGAGAAGUCAUCACGCGGGUUCUCAACAUUUAGAAGAAACACGGCUCAGACCAAUUUUGAACCAACAAGUGAGAAAGAAAAGAGUGUAGCCAAUAAAGACUCCAAUCCGGGAAACAAAGGAGCUAGUAGCUCUAACUCAACCCAACAGAACAAGGCACCAGCUCAGAGACAAAACAAUUCUUAUGCUAAGCCUUCCAUUGACAAGUGUUUCCGUUGCCAAGGACAUGGUCAUAAAUCAAAUGUCUGUCCAAGUCGGAGAACAGUUGCUAUAAUAGAGGAAGAAGAUGAAGAGGAUGAAAGGGAUUUCGCUGAGAAUGAAGAAUAUGAGGGAGCUGAAUUCGCUGAAGAAGAAUCUGGAGAGAUGAUAAACCUUGUGCUACAACGAGUCUUGUUAUCAUCUAAAGAAGAAGGCCAACGUAAGAAUUUGUUUAGAACACAUUGUUCUAUUCAAAACAAGGUGUGUAAUGUGAUUGUGGAUAAUGGAAGCUCAGAGAAUUUAGUUUCUCAAAAGCUGGUGGACUAUCUGAAGCUACCCACAACCCGUCAUGAGAAACCGUACGGUCUUGGUUGGGUGAAGAGAGGAUCACAAGUUCGAGUUAGCAUGACUUGCAAAGUUCUCAUAUCUAUAGGUAAACAUUAUAAGGAGGAGAUCACUUGUGACGUUCUUGACAUGGAUGUUUGUCACAUUCUUCUUGGACGACCUUGGCAGUAUGAUAACGAUAUCACAUAUCGAGGUCGAGACAAUGUGAUAAUGUUUACGUGGGGCAACCAUAAAAUUGCCAUGGCACCUGUUAAGGAUUUUUGUAACACUGCGAAGGAAAAGAAGUCAAGUUUCUUGGUUAUGACACAUGACGACAAAGAGCUUGAUGGGGAUGUUCAAGAAGCAAGGUGUUUCUAUCCCUUGGUUGUUAAAGGGUUGUUGAGUGCAGUAACGGAGGAAACAUCAACCCCAAGAGAAGUGUUAGAAAUUCUGGAUGAUUUCAAAGAGUUGAUUGCGGAAGAACUUCCUAAUGAUCUACCUCCCAUGAGAGAUAUUCAGCAUCAUAUUGACUUGAUUCCAGGAUCCAGUCUGCCAAAUCUUCCCCAUUACCGUAUGAGCCCUAAGGAGAAUGAGAUUUUAAGGGAACAGAUUGAAGAUUUGCUGAGAAAAGGAUUUAUUCGUGAGAGCAUGAGUCCAUGCGCCGUACCGGUUCUGCUAGUUCCUAAGAAAGGUAACCAGUGGCGGAUGUGUGUUGAUAGUAGAGCCAUUAAUAAGAUAACCAUUAAAUAUCGAUUCCCUAUACCCCGGUUGGAAGAUAUGCUUGAUGAGUUGUCAGGUUCUAAGGUGUUUUCAAAGAUAGAUCUUCGAAGUGGUUAUCAUCAAAUUCGAAUCAGGCCUGGAGAUGAGUGGAAAACUGCUUUUAAGAGUAAAGACGGAUUAUUCGAAUGGAUGGUGAUGCCUUUUGGGUUGUCAAAUGCUCCUAGCACAUUCAUGAGAUUAAUGAACCAGGUUCUCCGCCCGUUCAUUGGUUCUUUUGUGGUGGUUUAUUUUGAUGACAUUUUGAUAUACAGUAAAACAAAAGACGAGCAUAUGGAACAUUUGAAGCAAGUUUUGCAGGUUUUACAAGAAAACCAAUUGUACAUCAAUCUUAAAAAAUGUACGUUCAGCACCAACAAGCUGUUAUUUCUUGGAUUUGUUAUUGGUGAAGAAGGGAUUCAGGUUGACCAGGAGAAAGUGAGUGCCAUAAGGGAUUGGCCGGUUCCUAAGUCUGUCACUGAGAUACGCAGCUUUCAUGGUCUAGCUACUUUCUACAGAAGAUUUGUUAGAGAUUUUAGUACCAUUACUGCGCCUAUCACUGAGUGUUUGAAGAAAGGGAAGUUUCAUUGGGGAUCUGAACAGGAAGAGAGUUUUGCUUUAAUUAAAGAGAGGCUUUGUACUGCACCAGUAUUAGCCUUACCCGAUUUUGACAAAGUGUUUCAAGUGGAAUGUGACGCUAGUGGUGUGGGAAUAGGUGCCGUCUUAUCACAAGAAAAACGACCGAUAGCUUUCUUUAGUGAAAAGUUAAGUGAAGCUCGCCAAAAGUGGAGCACGUAUGAUCAAGAGUUCUAUGCGGUUUUUCGAGCUCUUCGACAAUGGGAGCAUUACUUGGUUCAGAGAGAGUUUGUUCUAUUUACAGACCACCAAGCUCUAAAGUAUCUUCACAGCCAGAAAGUGAUAAAUAAGAUGCAUGCUCGUUGGGUAAGUUUUCUGCAAAAGUUUCCUUUCAUUAUUCAGCAUAAGUCUGGGACUCUUAACAAGGUGGCAGACGCCUUGAGUAGAAGAGCUUCCUUACUCACUAUCUUAGCACAAGAGGUUGUGGGUUUCGAGUCUUUGAAGGAGUUGUACGAAUGUGAUGUUGAAUUCAAGGAGUUAUGGGGCAAAUGUAAUGGGAAGCAUCCUUCUGCAGAUUUCCACAUACGAGAUGGUUAUCUUUUUAAAGGAGACAGGCUGUGCAUUCCUUGCUCGUCAUUACGAGAAAAGUUGAUUCGCGAUUUGCAUGGUGGCGGCCUUAGUGGUCAUUUGGGAAGAGACAAGACCAUUGCUAGCUUGGAGACAAGGUUUUAUUGGCCACAUUUAAGGAGAGAUGCGGGUGCUAUAGUUAAAAGGUGUUAUAUCUGUCAGGUUUCUAAAGGACAAUCUCAGAACACUGGACUUUAUAUGCCAUUACCAAUCCCAGAAGAUAUUUGGCAAGACUUGUCUAUGGAUUUUGUGUUAGGCUUACCUCGUACACAGCGAGGCGUCGAUUCUGUGUUUGUGGUCGUUGACAGAUUCUCCAAGAUGUCGCAUUUCAUCGCCUGCAAGAAGACUGCAGAUGCCUCUAACAUCGCCAAGUUAUUUUUUCGGGAAGUGGUACGUCUUCAUGGGGUUCCUAAGACAAUAAUUUCCGACAGAGAUACCAAGUUUCUGAGUCACUUCUGGAUUACACUUUGGAGAAUGUUUGGAACCAGCUUGAAACGGAGUUCUACAGCUCAUCCACAGACUGAUGGGCAAACCGAGGUGACGAAUAGAACUUUGGGGAAUAUGAUUCGAAGUGUUUGUGGAGAUAAACCGAAACAAUGGGAUCUGGCUUUACCUCAAGUGGAGUUUGCUUACAACAGUGCCGUGCACUCAGCUACAGGGAAAUCACCUUUUUCUUUGGUCUAUUGUUCUAUUCCGAAGCAUGUGGUCGAUUUGGUUAAGUUGCCUAAAGCUCCUGGAGUUAGUAUCUCAGCUGAGGCUAUGGCAGAGGAUAUUCUAGCAACUAGAGACGCUGUCCGAGCGAAGUUAGAAGCAACUGGCCAAAAGAAUAAAGAAGCAGCAGACAAGCGUAGAAGACUCAAGGUUUUCAAAGAAGGAGAUGAAGUGAUGGUGUUUCUACGAAAAGAAAGAUUCCCCGUGGGCACAUAUCGCAAGCUACAACCUCGCAAAUAUGGUCCAUUCAAGAUUUUGCGGAAGUUAAAUGAUAAUGCUUAUGUGGUGGCACUUCCAGAAGACAUGAACAUUUCUAAUACGUUCAAUGUGGCUGACAUCUAUGAGUACCAUGCUGAUGGUGUUCUUUAUCCAGAAGAGAACUCGGGGUCGAGUUCUUUCGAGGUGGAGGAGACUGAUGUAGGAGACUCUUAGAUUUACAUAACCUAAUCUAGAAGUUUUCCUUUUAUUUCAUGUUUUCUUUUUCUUAUAGGGAUUUACCUUUUUAUGUUUUAGGCUCUCUCUAUAUAAGAGAGUUUUAGGUAUUCUGUUUUGGACAUUCAUAUCUUUUCUUAUCAAUAGAAGUUUUCAAGCUUUUAUCUUUUCUGGUGGAUUCCAGAGCUUAAUAUUCGAGUUCUUGCUUGAGAGCUUGAUUUUGAUCUAAGGGUUAGUGUUUGCUAACCUUAGUGAUUUCCGACUGCGUCAAUAUCUAUAUAAUAGUAUAUAUUUUACUUAACUGGUUAUCUAGUAUCUUGUUUCCAUUUGCAAAUAACCAUAUUGUUCUUGGAAUGCUGCUUUGUCCUACUUGUUGAUAAACAAACACACAUAGUGAGUCUCUUGAGACAAGUCACGUGUACUCAACAGAAUCUCACUGAGAGCAGAAAAGAGAGAGGGAGUAACCUGAAUGUGAGUUGCCGAGAAGCCUUGCGAAUAAUCCAAUGUACUCUCUGGAAAGGUUUGCUCUAUCUUAUUACCACCCACACUUUUCUGCAACAUCUACAAGAAAUGUAAACAGUACAAACGACAAAAUCAAUACCCUCUCAUUCAAAAGUCUUUGUGUUUUAACAUUGCUAUGUCCAAACUAGUCCUGGACUUCCAUGUGAUGUAAAUUCUACAGUUGCUAUGGAUAUAAUAAUCAACUACAAAAAUAAAAAGAACAAAAAUGAUAUUUGCACUCUAAAAGAAAUAGUUAUGACUAAUGGACUGUUAUCGUUUGGCUUUACAGAAUUUAUUUGAAAAUAAAAGACUUACAUGAGAACUAGCAGUAUCAUCAAGAACCGAGUUCAUUUUCUCAUAAUCUCUUCUUUUCUUUUCACUCUUGUUCUGUUUCUUGGGACCAACACUGUUUAACUUUUUCACAGAAUCUUCCUCGCAAACAUUCCUUGGGCCAGAAGAUGCAUCUGACAUCAUCGACAAAUCUUCUUCUUCAUCUUCUUCUUGAUGCACGUAGUUUUGACUCCAAGAAUCUUUGCUUCUUCUUCUGUUUUCAAACCCAUUAAUGUCUCGGAAACAAGAAGAACUUGGAAAAGAAGAAACAGAAUGGUCUAAGUACAAAGUCCAUCCUGACUCGCAUCCACUACUCCAUUCUGAUGAACCCAACAUUUUCCUUCUAUUUAUUGUGUUUAUAAAAGAAAGCAACUCCUUUUUUUUAGGUUCUUGAGUUUGAACUGCUGUGUGGAGAAAGAUUUAGACAGAAGCUGUGGGUGAAGUAUCGACUUGAUUUAUACACAUGCAUCUAUAUCUCUCCAUGUGUGAUGUCCUCUAUAUUUCAUUGUUUAAUUUUAUUCAAUUGUUUGGUCCUAUCUUCAACAGGUACGGAGUAUAUCUUAUUUUAACUUAUUAUCAUCGUCUCCUACUUCUUGUGCCUAUUAAUUUUAAAAUCUUAGGUUGGUCUAAUAAUGUUGGCUCUUGUUUUGUCGUUAUCAGUUCACUAUGUGGACGAAGUAACUUGUAUACAAGCUAAUGGAUAAGUCGGCGUUAUUUAGGCACACUCGAGCGUUCUUUUCAAGUUCGCAACACGUGAACUCGAUAGUAUAAUACUUUGUUACUCUUUUCUUACAAUGCCAGUAUGUAACAUGGGAAUGACAUGUAGCGUUCGUGGCCAGACGUUUCUCAUUUGAUCCAAAUAUAUAAAACCAAACCUGCUUAUUUAUACAUUUCAGCUGCAUAAAAAUAAACGAACGACGCAUAUCAAACUAUAUAGAGUUGAAACUUUAAUACUUGUUUUAUUUUAAUUAUCGUACUAAUAGAAAGUUUGCACGUGACAUAUCCUCCAAAACUAGCAUAGAAGAGAUAAAUAGCCACUAAUCGUAUAUUAAAUGUUUAUAAUGGCUAUUUAUGUAGGUAAUUAAUAGUAUUGGUGAGACUAAUUAGAUGGUGCAUGGGUCAAAGCGACUUCGGCAGACAAGUUGUGACAAAGAAGAUCCGAGCGGUCUAUUGACUACGCUUUUAUGAUAUCACAUGCCCUCACAUUUUGUUUUCCAUUUUAUUCUUUUUCGUACUAGCUAAAUUAAUUCUUACCUGUCGAAAAAGACAUCCUAGUAAGUUUAUUAUUUAUCUUUUGUGUUCCUUUUCGUGUAUGUUUGGCACUUUCUAUAUGUGGGAUGGCGAGAUAUUAGUGUUAUUAUAGUAUGAUGAUUAAGAUUUGAAAACGAGUAAUAAUUAUAUAAAGUUUUUCAGAAAAAGGUUUCUAUAUCUAAAAUCUUAAUAAUCUUACUAUCAUAUUCAAAUGUUCAGAUAUUUUCUUUUAAUAAAACGAUAAUGGAGAGUUAAUUCAGAGUUUGAAAAAUGUGAGUACAGAAAUUUCAUGUGUUGGAAGUGCAUCUCUGUUUUGGCACACAUGUCAUGUAAGUUUAAAUAUUGUAAGAAAAUAAUAACAGAAGUAAAAUGAAUUUUUGAUUAAUAGUUUAAGGAAUUCUAAUAGCUAGCUAGCAAAAUCAGGCAUGCAUGUGAGCACGUGUGCACGUAAAAAUGUAAUAAUACGCAAGGUUCAACAAAUUCACACAUGUGCUCACGUGCAAGAACACGCACUUCGACCAACUACACACUUUAGAUGUGACACCUUCUGGUCCCUUUCUUUACAAUCACUGAUAAUUCCUAUGCUCCCGAUUUCAGUGUUCCCGUCCUCCAUGUGUCUCUUGCUUUUUCACUUCCCUUCACAUGUGUGUUUGUGUGUUUUCAAAUGAGUUGUAUAGUUAAACCUUUUUUGUGUGUGUAUAACUUAGUUUGAGAACAAGAAGUUUAAGUUGUGUAAGGAAUCAAGACGUUAAGUUCAGGUCAGGAUUAGCCGAUUAGGUAACUCUGUUUUUGUAUAUUGAAAUUUUCCUUUAUAAUGUUUUUACAAAUGAUAGUUCACUAGUAUAAUCUUUCAGCAUUAGUUAUAUUAUUUUUAAUGACUCCUGAAGAAGACAUUAUGAUUUUGUAAUUGACGUUUCAAGUACUAUUUCACUACGACCAAUGUUAUACUGAUAUGUUAUUAAUGUUGUAUAUAAUUAUCACUUUUAAGCAUUAAUCACAACUCUAACCACCUGGCGCGGACCCAUCUCCUUAGUUACCUCCAAGCACAAACUGGUGGACAAGUUCUUGAUCUGUGGAUGACCUACGUUCACGUUGUAAAGUCCAUGCAACAAUGACACAUCUUCCUCUUCGUUCUCGUGGUCCACCAUGAAAAUAUUUGGAAUAUCUGAAGUUUUUUGGUGCCACUCCUUGAGCAACUUGUCAAUUACAUCUCCUGUCUCUGUGUUGUUGAAGUCCUUGUCCGCGAGUGUCAGCUUGUCAAAACCAGACACCUCAGGUCCAGCAAAUAUUAUGAUGCCUUCCACCGCAGGAUGCGAGUAAGCUUCCCUUAGAAUUUCUUCUAUGUAUUUUGCCUAUGAUCAAUCAAAUUAGUAAUCAAACACACUUUUAUGAUUAUGAUAAAUGUAUAAAGAUGGAGAAAAGGUUUCUUGUCAUACAAGGUAGCUGAUGACACACCUGGUUAGGGCAUUUAGGCAUAUCAAGCUCUGUAAUCCAUACAGGCAACCCUAGUGAGCCUAAAGUAUCCAGUGCAGAUCUCAUGUAAGCUAAGUUAGGCUGAAUUGGACUAAAGUGACCCUGAGCUCCAAUUGCUCCUUUAAUGUUUUCGUUUCCUUGGUACGCAAGUAUCUCCUCCAUCUUGUCCUUCACCUUAACCGGCGUCGCAGUAACGUCUCCAGGGUUCUCAAUCGUGUUGUACUCGUUAACAAACAAUGUCACAUCAGGAUCUAGCUUAUAAGCAAGGUUGUAGAAUCUUGACGAAGCGUUUACACCAAGCAUUUUUUCAAAGUAAUCCCAAUGCAAAUUCUCGUUAACCACAUCCCACCCGGUUAACUUACCUUUGUACCUCUUCAUAACCGAAUUUAUCCGGUUCAGUGUCACAUUCCUCACAUCUUCAGGGUCUUUUAUAUUUUCCACCCAACUUGGUUGCAUCUUUGGGUCGUCCCAUAAAACUGUAUGACCUCUAACCAAUAUAUCAUUCUCCUCUGCAAACUUCAGCAUUGAAUCUGCUGCCGUGUAGUUCUCCUGACCGCGUACUUUCUCUGUUGUAUACCAUUUCAUUUCAUUGGUGAAUGACGUGAUUGCGAACCGUGACGCAAACCAUUUUCUGUACCCUUCACUUUGUAGGAUCCGGAAAUUCAUUGCACAGCCUAAGAGGAAAAAUGGUUUGGUUUGUUUUAGGGAUAUUACUGCGUCUUUUACCGCAGUUUUAUUGUUAUAAGUAACUUCAAAUCUCACUUUAUUCUUCCUUAUCUGCAACCAAUACCAUUUAUAUAAGAGAAAAAAAACAGCACACAAGAGAUCUGAAACCAUAAAAAUUAUAACAUUUGGUACCUUUUCAAUAAGUUGAUCUUGUUUCAGUUUCCAUUCUUUUUUACUAAACUGUUUUAGCGACAGUUUUGUUACAGAGAUCUUUGCUUCUCUGUCUUCACUCUGCUUUCGAAUAAAACAUGUGUUAACACUGAGAAUAUACAUAUGAAAACACGUGUAUAAUGUUGUACCUUGAAGAAUAUAUCUACUGGGUCUGAAACAUUAGGUACAAUCCCACCUUUAAGCAAAGACCAACAUCCUUGCUUUGCCCUAACUUCACCUCCAUGAACAAGUCUUCCACUUUCUGAUCUGAACACAAUCCCUACUUUCUUGUCGUUUCCUCCUCUCAACUUUACCCAAGCUGUGUUUCCAUAAAAAAAAUGGAUAUUCAAUCUAUAUAAACAUAACCGGUUCAAACUCAAACAAAACUAAAAGAAACCUAUCUGAACAUAUGAAUAUGAUCAAAGUGGUUUAAUUGGUUAUAAUUAUUUCUGUAUCCGGAAAAAAAAAAUCUGAAACCAGACAUUGUACACACAUCUACAAGAGAUGAAUUACCAAGAAUCACUGGUUUGAAACAGUAACUUACUAAACAAGAAAGCAUAAGAUGAUGAUUUGUUAAAAUAUAUAAACAUACGAAUAGGUUGCAUCUGUGUUACCGGAGAAGCUGUAAAUGAUUCCUUGCUGAAGCUGAAUUCUCUGUGCCAUUUCUCUAAUAGCCCCAUUUUCAUCUAUCUCCCACUCUUGAUCAGAGUCAUCUUCAUCAGAGUGGCUAAGUAGUAUUAAUUCUUGUUCCGCAAUGCUUCGUGGAGGCUUCAUUAUACACUUUAUAUAUUCGCCAUAUUUUACCAACGUUAGACAGUUUGAUUUUUAAAAAUAAAUAAAUCAAGCAUGUGAUAUAUCUAUAUAUCGAGGUUUUAUCAGUUUUGGUUACCUCUGUUUUGAGAGAGCGACUAUGGGAGAAAGGAUCAUUAGCAAGCCCCGAAUACACAAGACAUAUGAGAAGAAAGAGCAUGCUGGGGAAGAAGCCAUUAUUGAAAUUCUUCAUCUUCCUUCCUGUAAAAUUAGAAUGUCACGACAAAACUCAUUUGUUAAAGCUUAAGGGUUGUCACAUUCUAAUCUAUUUUUAUACUCCUCUUUCCUUUACAAGCACCUUUCUUUUACAUUGAUUUUAAGGUUCGUUUCAAAGAUAGGCUUAAGAAUACGAGCACCAUCUUGAAUUUAAACAUACUGUUUUCUUAUACUGCCAUAGGCUUUAUAUUUUAUUUUUGAUAAAGGCUUUAUAUCAGAUAAAAGUAUAUUGAUUUCCAAUGAAAAAAUGACAAACUACACAAUGUGAAACGAAUAUGAAAGCACUAGGUAGAGUAAUGCGGUCAACCUAAAACUAGAAGAACGGAUACCACCUACUUUUAAGUAACAACAUCCCAAAACUAAAAGCAAACAAAAAAAUAUAUCCAAAAACCAUUCUAAAAGAAAGAAGAAAACUAUAGAACAUUUAACGGGUAAACAGUAAAAGUGCGUUCUACCACAUAAAAUAAACAUUACCUACAAAGGAGAACAAGAAGUUGGAUUUAACAAGUGGCUACAAUUGCUGCCUCGUGAAACAUUUUUGGAGUUACGUUGAAGCACUUGUCGUGUAACAUCGACUGGUAGAAAUUGUUCUUUAGCAAAAAUAUAUCAAAGUUAAGUAAAUUAUAAUAGUUCGAUAUGGUUGUCAACAAAGCCAAGAAGUUGCUGAUUCUAUUCAACCAUCCAUUAACAAAAACAAUUUUCCAACAUUUUCAAUAGGCCAUAGUUAAUAAGAACAUUGAUUAACAACACUAAACUUGAUUACUAAUUAUUAAAAAUAAUAAAACGUUAUAAAUUGUAAGCCAAAAAAAUCAAGAUUUCAAAUUAACAAUAGUGUUCAUGAGUAAUAAUAGCCCUUUGGAGUUUCCUCAAACUUGCUGCACUAUUUUCACUAAGAUUUAAACUACUCAAAUAGUUCAAGAUAGUUGUAAACUUAGCGUAUCAAACAUGAACAACAAAACGAGAUGGUUGAGAGUCAUCAGAAGUCAACUUAAAGCUGUGAGAAGCAGUUGAAUUAGUGAGAGGAUGAGCAAUACUGAUAUCAUAGUCACCAUGGAAGAGUGAAGCUUCAAAGAACCCAUCAGCAUCAGUUAAACCUGUGGUUUGCCCACGAAGCCCUCCCCAUUCACGCAGAAGUUUGUCCACAACGUCUCCGGUGGGUAGGUUCCUGAAGUUUCCAUCGGUGAGGCACAUUUUGUAGCAACCUGAGGGAGAAUAACCACUCCAAGUCACCAUUCCUUUCACUUGCGGAUGUGCAUGGCCUUCCCUUAGGACCUGCUCGAAAUAUUUGGCCUGCACAAAAUUGAACAUUAGAAGCCAGUCAUGAACAUAGACAAGUAAAACAUUAGCAUACAACCUCCAAAUUUUUUUAAAAAAAUACAUAAAUAUAUAUAGACUCCCAAAAUAGUUUAUUUUUAAAUUAAAAUUCGUACUAAUUUUUCAAUAUAGCUCACAAAAUCUUAGGAUAGCCGAGAAUAUUUAUUCGAGUUACCUGGACAUUUGGAGGAGCUUGGACGUCGACCUCAGUGAGCCAAAUAGGCAAACCAGUGGCAGCAAGAGUGUCAAGAGCUGAUCUCAUAUACGGAAUGUUAGGAGUGUUGAAAUGAGACUCAAGACCGAUCCCUAACUGAAUGUUUCCGGCGACACGAAUAGAUUGAAGCUCUCUAAGCUUCCCCAAAUACCUUGCUGGACUAGAAGCCGAAUCUCCCGGUUGCUCCAACGUGUUGAAUUCAUUCAUAAACAUUGGUGUCCUUGGGUCGAUGGAAUGCGCCAACGCAAAGAUGUUAUAAGAGGCUUGAGGACCCAUCUUGCUCUCAAAAAACGAGAAAUGGAGAUUCUCAUUCACAACGUCCCAGCUCAGAAGCUGCCCUUUGUACCUUGAGACCACCGAGGAAACCCUUCUUUUCACGGCGUUGUAGAGAUCGUUACCGGACAAAGAACUCACCCAACUAAGUUGGUACUUGGGGUCGUUCCAUACGAUAUUGUGGCCACGUACAGCGAUCCCAUGCUGUUUGAAGAAUCUUAACAUGGCGUCUGCUGUCGUGUAAUCCUCUUUGCCUCUUACUGCUUCCGUGCUGUACCAUUUCAUCUCGUUCGCGAAGGUUGUCACGGUGAAUCUCUUAGUGAACCAGUUUUGGUAUGCUUGGUUUACAAGUAUGUACUUUUCUACCUCGCACCCGAAUGAGAACCCAAGUCUAUUCUGUACGAUGGAGAUUGUUGCGCUUGGUAUUGGCUCACCUAAGCUGUUUACGGCUCUGAUCCUCAUGCCUCUCUUCCUCGUUCUGUGAAUGGUCUGCUCGUGGUGAGCGUUCCACUCUUCUUGUGUGAAUGGUUGCAACGAGACGCUAUCAACCCAUAUCUCAACGGUUGUGUCCUCGCUCUACACAUGAGCACAUAAAUAAGAAUCAUCAUAGGUUAAUUUCUCUAUUUCCACUUAUAUGUAACGUUCUUAUUUUCACAUUUUUAGAUUUUAAAAAUAUAUUAAAACUAGUAGGUUACUUAGACAAACAUUCAAGAGUUGGCACAAAGGCUAUGUUUGUUUGUAUAUGUAAAUACCUCAAAGUAAAGUUCGGCAGGACCAGAUUCAUCAAUAGUGAGACCACCUUUAAGCAUGGACCAGCACUUAGAUUCAGCAAUAACCGAACCGGCAUGCUUAUAUUCACCAUUCUUCUUGAAAACGGCUAUCACAGGAGCCUUUCCUUUGCUUACUUGUAACCAAGCUACAAGUAACAUAAAAUACAUCAGAUAAUAAUUUGAGUAAUUCGUAUAAAUUUCUGAAGAAUAAGAUCCAAGAAACACAUAUUCGAAACUAUAUACCAGAGAAAGUGUAGAGAAGUUCUUUUUCCAAAUAAAUCUUCUGUGAGACGCUGUCAUAAGACUGAUUCCUCCCUCGUGCAACAACGAACUUAUUGCCUCCGAAUUCUCUGAAAUCGACUUUGGCGUUUGCGAAUUGUGCCCAGCCUUGUGAACCAUUUUGUAGGUCAGGGUUCACGAUGAUCCCUCCAUUGUAUUGUGGUUUAUAAGGGUUCUCUAGACACUACACCAAGACAAUAAGAUAAUCAGAAACAUAAGUUUCCAACGAACAACGAUCGACCUAAAUAAAGAACAUAGAAUAAUAGCUUGCCUCUAUUGUUGCCGAGUAAUCGUAAGGUACAUACUUUUGUUCACUCCCUGCAAACGUUUUCAUACAUUAAUUCUUCUUUUUUGUUCGUUGAUAAUAAAAAAUUCAAAAGUUAUUACACAUGUACAAACAGAAAAAUACAUAUUGCGACGAAAAUAAACUCGAAAUCUUAUAGGAGAACUAACAUAUAUAACAACAAUGAUAAUAUAGAAAACCAGAGAUAAGAUGGAGAACAACUUGAUAGAGAAAGGCUGCAGAAGGCUAGCAGCAGUAGAAGAAGCUUCAUUGUGGAAAUAAUUAGGAAUCACUUGAUGAUGAUUGAGGGUUUCCAAUAACAUUUAUACUAUUUUUAUGGUACAUAAUGAAUUAACAAAAAUAAUUUUGACUGUAGUUUAUUUUUAUGAUUUUCUUACCAUACUUGUUUUGGAAAGAAAAGUGAAGAUAUUCAUCAUUCUAUUUAUCGUUAAUAGAAACAGUAUAUUAAAUCUAUGAAAAUUCUCAAAGCCAUUAUCUUUUUUUUUUGGCAUGGAAGGCAAAUAUGGAAAGCAAAUCUACAAUACAUUCUGGUACAUAGUCAAUUACGCCGGUUAAAAAAAAGUUACUAGGUAUGUCAACUCUACAAUCCAGAGAACCCUGAAGAAGUCCUUUACUUUAAAAUUUAUGUUUCCUUUGAUGUGUAAUCGCCAUGUUCUAACUUAAUUCUUUGUCAGCAAGUACAUAUAAGAUCAUUAUUGGACACCAUUGUUUUACAUCGUAAUCAAUAUUAAAUUUAAUUAAGAUUGGACUGGCACAAGGCUACUAUAUUCAACACCACAACAGCUCAAAGACUCAAGAGGAAGUUCAGUAUUAUUGACAAAUCCAUGACAAUAUUGAGACUUCAACUUUAAGAACCCAGCCUAAUGAUACUCAUGAUUAGCUCAUGGGGGGAACCGGCACCGCAGACACGGAUACACAUAUAUAGAUAUACCAUGUCUAGAUUAAGAACAAAAUAUACUAUCUGCCACCAUUAAUUAUUACUAAGAAUCAAACUACUCAAAUAUGAACUAGUUGUAUGCUUGACUUCUCAAACACGAAAGACAAAAAAGGAUGGUUGAGUGUGGGAAGCUUUUGAAUUUGCGAGAGAAAUGAGGAAUUUUUAAACCCUAGAAAUUGGUGGGCUUCAAAUAUAUAUGGGCCAUAUUUAAAAUGGCAUCAAUUUGAAACACUAUUUUUUUUUGAAACACUAAAUGGCAUCAAACUUACACCUCGAAUUUUAUAUAACAUUGAUGAUGUUUGUCUACAGAUUACUUGUCUCCCACAUCACGAUUGAUUUAUUGAAAGUUUGUCCGAUAAAAGUGUUAAAAUAUAAUUCUAAAAACAUGUACACUAAGAAAGUUUAUUUUCUUUUUUUUUCAAUUGAAAAAUAUUUAGUAAAUGUUAUAUUUUCAUAUAUUUAUGUUUUAUUUUAUAAAAGACUUAAACUUUUUAUCUUUAUUUAUCGUAUUUUAUUUUAAAUGAUUAUUUAUGUUUAAAAAAUUAAAUUUUAUUUCUUUAAUGAAUUAAGCUGGUAAAAUUUUGAUAAAUUAAUUUUAUUAUGUGGUUAAUAUUUUAAUAAAAAAAUACAUACUUUUAAUAAAGAUUUAUACUUUUCAAUGAAAAAAAUAAUUUUUUUUUAUGAAUGCUUAAAUUAUAUUAAGAAAAGAAAAAAAAAUAAUAAUUAAGAAUAGUUGAAAAAAAAUUAUUUGAACUUGGACUCAAUGGUCCAAAAAAAAUAUGUGAUAAUUGGAUUUGAUUUCUUAAUCGACCCAAAUGGCCCAAGAGAGAUCUGAUGUGGGCUGGAUCCAAAAAAAAUGACCCAAUAUAGAUGUGUUAUUAAUAUUACUUGAUUGCCUUUAAUGAAACAUUCAAUGUUAGUAAAGAAAAGGACAGCUAAGGUAAAAAAAACAAUAAGAUCCUGUUUUAAUAGUAUAGAUAUAUCUUUUUAACAUGGGAUGUCUGGCUCGAAGCCCCCAACUAAUCAUCUAAGGGGUACCAACGACUAGUUCGGUCCUGGAUUUUCUAACUUUACCUAUGGUUCCAUCUUUGUUUGGUCAGGCAAAUGAGAGCAUAAUUAACCCAAAAUUUUUAAGAUGAAAUUUUUAGCGGAAGUUAAAUAGUUUCAUAUAUAAAUGUUAAAUAUAUCUUUCUAACAUGGGACGUCUGGCUCGAAGCCCCAAAUAAAGGUACCAAUUCUAGGUACCAAUGACUAAUUUGGUCCUGGAUUUUCUAAUGAAACCUUAGGUAUGGUUCCAUCUUUGUCUGGUCAAACAAAUGAGAGCAUGAUUAACCCGGGAUUCUUAGGAUGAGGUUUUUAACGGAAGCUAAGAAAUUGCUAAGAACUCCACUCUAAGAAUCACGGACUAAUCAUAGUCUGACAAAUUAGUUUCUAGUAUGAUUUAAACCUGAUGGAUCUAACGGAUUUAGCAUCAAAUUUAUCUCUCUUUUUUUCUUUUUUUUCUCUUUCAUCAAAUUUAUCUUACUAUCAUGAUAUUACCGCUUGGUUAUAAUGUUAAAUAAUUGUGUUUGUAAUCUAGCAAAUUCUUUUGAAUCUGGAAGGGUUUCUUAGUAGCUGUCAUUUCAAUAAACCAUUUGAUUGAUUAUUGUAAUUAUAAGUCGAAAUGAGUAUAUUUUAGGGAGUGCUCAAACCUGAGCUUAUUAUUCUGAAUUUUCUUUAAUUUUUUUUAAAAAUAUGUUGGUAAUUGAAAGAAAUAAAAAAACGGUAAGAGAAAAGUAGAUAGGUAGAAAGAGUCGCCAUUGAUGGCCUUGUUGUCAAAUUAUGCAAUAAUAACAAAUAAUAUAACCUAACAGGAAUAUAUGAUAUGAUCAACCGAUCUUUAUAUAAUUCUAGUUUCUAUUUACUUUCUUAAAUAAUCAAAGCGUAGGACAUGAGAAAAAAGAAUAUGACUUGUUCCUACUACUUAUAUGUAAUAAUAUAUAUAAAUUGUAAAAUAUAGUAUUUAAAAUAGCAUUUGAAUUUAUUUUUAAACAUUUGUUUAUGGCUGUUAAUAUCAAAAGAACCUCAACAAUAAAAUAUAUAUUUAUAUACCAUGAAUAUGUUGACAAAAUUAUAAAACAUACAACGAGACUAAGUCAACUGAUAGUUAAGAGUUUAGGAAGUGACCAAAAGCCAAAGUCAAAUACUACAUUAAUAGCCAGUAUGUCAACUUUACAACCUUUUCUGAUAAAGACAAUUUUACAACUUACAUAACUUUGCUAGUUAAAUUUAGUUCCUAAAUGGAAUAUUAGACUACCUAUUAUAAUAUAGUUGACUUUUAUUUAAAAUAUUUCAAACGUUUUGUUAUGUUUCUUACAACCAUAAACUUUCGUGAUGUUUGAGAACUUUUCUUUCAUUUUUAACUUUGCUUCUCAACAAAAAUACUUUACAGGAUAUCAUUAUCUUUUUUUUUAUAUCAUUAUCAAUAUAUAGUUAAAGUAAACGUGUUAAUAAAUAAAAAUCUAUAUGAAAACUUUUAUAUACUAAAUAUUAUCAUAAACGAGACAUUUAUUAAAAUUCGAUGCUAUAAAAGUUUCAGAAUACUUUUAAACUAAUGGGAUAAAACUGUAGAAUUAUAGUUUUGAUGUCAUGAAAAUUAUGAAUAAGAAACUGAUUGAAGUUUGAUGCUAUAAAUAAUUCGCUACUACUUUUCAAGCUGUAAAAAUAGUUAUAAUCGUUGGCAGAAAUAAAUAGCUGUAAUUUUUAAGUGAAUUAUUAUUAGAAAAAACUAGGUAAGGAACCCGUGCGAUAUCGCACGGAAUUCGUUUUGCAGAAAAAAUAUCCAAUAUUUUAUUUAAUUAUUUUAGAGAAAUACAUGCAUUACAAAGUUAUCAUGUGUACAGCUAUACUUUAAUAUUGAUAAUAUUAAAAAUAUAUUUUAUUUAUAUCUUAGUUGUAAUAAAAAGUACAUAUAUAUUAAGACUAAAUCAGAUAUAUGUCUACUCAUUUACUAAAUUUAUAAUGUAAUUUAUACAGUUAAGAGAUCUUGUUUGGUAAUAUAUUCAUGAUUUGUAUGAAACAAUAUAAAAAUGUACGUACAGUCAAAAAUGAUUACAUGUGUAGGUAGAAUUAGAUUCAGAAAAAAACAUAGUUAUAGUUAGCAAUGAAUCUUUGUAAAUGAAAAGGAUAGGUUUUAUUCUAACAUGUAGAAUUGUGUUAUUUCGGUAGUAUAAAUUAUAUUUUCAUUAAAAUUAAUUUGUGAAAGUUGGUUGAUUAAGUAGUAAAAGCUAUUUUCUAGAAUUUUUAAUAAAUAUAGUAUAUAAAAUGAUAAUAUAUAAAAAUUGAAAAAAUAAGAAAAGGCAUAGAUCACUUUUCAAAAAAAAAAAGAUGAAAAGAUACAUCUUUAGAUAUUUAUUUAGACUAUUUAAAUGUAUAAUAAAUAGAAAUAAAUGAAAAAAUAUAUUUAAAAUAUUUUAUUUUUACAAUGAAUAAGAACCAAGCAUUGCAAUGGUUAACUAAGAAUAAUGGUUACCACUAAAAAUUGUAAUGGUUCAUCAUUAAAGUUUACUAUUAUCACUAGUUUCAAAGAUUAACAAUUGCAAUGAUUCAUCAGUAAAGUCUAUGAUUACAAUAGUUGCAGUGAUUUAUCAUAGUUUUAAGGGUUUAUCACUAAAGAAUAUAUCAUCACCACAAUGAUUUAUAAAUAUAUAAUACUAUAAAAAAAAUUACAUGAAUAUUAUAUAUGUAUAUAAAAUAGAUAUAAAAAUUAUAUAAAAAUGAAUCAAAAGACAACUCUUUAUUGGCAUAUAACGAUAAAAAUCAACUAACAUUAUAAAAUACUAAUUACCAUUGUUAGUCAUAGAAAUUAGAGUUUUGUUAAAGAAUUUGAAAUUUUAGAAAAGAAUAUGUUUACCAUAAACAAGCAAUGCAAAUAAAUAUAUAAAUUUAUAUAUUCAAAGAUAAUUAGAAUAAUAAGUCCAUAAAUAUUAUUAUAAAAAUUAUAAAAUACACAAAAUAACCUUUUUAAUUCUAGAAUAAUGGAAUAAUAGAUAGUUGAUGAUGCAAAUAUGUAUUAGACACUCUUGAUACUUUUGAAUACAUAUAUAUCAUACUGAAAACUAUAUAUGAAUUAUUAAUUUGUUUGACUGAAAGUUUACUCAUUUGAUAAAUAGAAAAUACAAAAUGUAUUAGUUCAAGAAAUAGGAAAAUAAUAGAUUUUCAGUCGAAGUGUUCUACAACACACUAUAUUAUAGAUAAGAUGAAAAGACAUAAGCACUAGAUACAACUUUUCAUAUCAAUUAUCAUGUACUUUCUCAGGAUGAAAAUAAUAAACAAUAAACACAAAAAUUGAAAAUUAACAGAUGCAUCUUUUCAUGAUUCGGUUAAAACGGUUAUUUGUUAAUAAACUGAUAAUAUAACUUGUAAUAAUUCUAAGUUAAAUUAUCUAGACUUUAAAAAAAAAAUAUAAGUAAAACUUUAAGUACUUCAGUAGUCUGACUUUAAAUUACAUUAGCAUACUUCCUACUAUAUAUUUUUUACAACCUUUCAUUUGAUAUCUUCUAAGAAUUUGUAAUUAAGCAACUAUACAAAACUUUUUUUCUUCACUAUUUUAAUAAAAUUUGUAAAUGAUUUUCAAUCAUAAACUUAUGUAGAUGAUCUAUUUAUAGUUUUUGAAAGAACUAUAGGAAUAUUCACUUUUUUAUCAACUGAUAUUAUAUUAAGAGGGAAACAGGUUACAUCAGAAAUACAUAUCAUCAGACCAUUCAUCUGAUUCUAUAGAGAUUCAAAAAAAACAUCGAAAGGCAAUAGGCUAUCUACACUGACCAGACAUAAUUAAGAUAAGUGUAAAGAACCUAUCAUACACGAUGAGGGAGAGACUUCAUAUAAAACAACAAGAACACUUAGAGAUAUAACUUUCAAAUUUUGGAUAGUUAAUUAAAAUAAAACAUUUACAAUAUAUUUUGAAUAAACACAGCAUUGCAAAAAAAAACACUUUAUAUAUAUAUAUAUAUCUCACGUGACUGUUCGUGCUUGAUAUAAAGAGCGGUNNNNNNNNNNNNNNNNNNNNNNNNNNNNNNNNNNNNNNNUGUUUCUGGUGUUUGUGGCCGGCACGACGUCGGUAAUCCUCCUUAUUUACUUUUUAUCCUACAGUUUUAAUUCUCUGGAUUAUAUAAUUCAACACAUCGUCGUGAAGAAAAGUUGUAUUGAAAAAGUGUUUCCAUGAUGAAAGGAAUCUUUGUAUCCACAUUUUUCAUGUCCUUCGUACGGUGGCUCCAGAGAAUCAAUCCCAAGACUAAUAUUAAAUUUAAUAACCGUUUGUCCUCUCACAUGAAGAGGUGUUUUUCGUUCGAUAACUGUUAAAAUACAUUUUAGAAAUUUUGUUGAAAAGAUACAUUUGACAAGUUCUUGACCCAAAAAAAGAAGAUACAUUUGAAAAUUUCUUUUAAAUUUAUGCAAUUUUUAAGAUGAAACAACAUAAGCUUUGACAUUAAUUGUCGAAAAGACACAUAUAUAUUUUGACAAUUUUUUUUGUUGAUUAAUGCAAUUUUUAGGUUGAAACAACACAACUUUUAGGAUGAAACAACACAAAUUUUUAACACUAAUCAGAAUUAUAAUUUCUUUUUGAUUAUAUGCAACUUUUACUUUGAAACAACAUAAUUUUUCAACAUUAAUCGGGAGAGAAUUUAUUUUUGAUUAAUACAACUUUUAGGUUGAAAUAACACAAUUCUUAGGUUCAAACAACAAAAAAUUUAGGAUGAAACAACACAACUUUUCAACAUUAAUUAGAAUUCUUAUUAUUAGUAGACAUGUUUUAUUGUUUUCGUUGAUAUCAACAUUUUUUUUAUGGGGAAAUAAAAGUUUAAUCCAAUGGUAAAAAUUGCUUCCUUAUACAAUCAAAUGGUUAAGUUUUAGUUUCUUUUGGAUGUAUCACGUUAUUAGUUACUAUCUAAACGGUGUCCCGUUUUAUUUUUGAAAUGUUGCUUCUCAGAAGACACAACCCUUUCAGAAUAAUACUUCGUAAGAAAUUUAUAUAUUCUUCUUUAUCACUUUUUCACUUCCUUUCAUCAUUGUUCUUUUUUUUCCGUCGCUUACCAGUGAUUUUUUUUUUUGAUGGGAAUAACAGUUUUUCUUUUAAGUAUUGAAAUGGAGAAUAGUUCAAGUAAAAUGCAUUGUGGCAAAAUCAAAACAUUGACGCAUAUGUUUCUGACUUCUGAGAUCGUUUAUGGAUCAGGUAAAACCAAUACUUAUAUGGAAGAAAAAAAUACAAAAUCAUUUAAUUUCUUAUAAUUUUUUGAGUAAAGGUGAUAUUAGUUUCUGAUUUUCUUAUAACUCAGGGGGAGAAAUAUGCAUAUACAAAAUCAUAUAUCUUUUCAACUUGUCUAUUUCACCCACCACCUUCUUAAUACAUCGACUGCAUGCAUUACUGUGCAAAUUAGACAAGUAUUUAAGAUAUACAAAGAAUAAGAAUAUAUUCGUGAAAUUUUAUUUUGAAAAAUGCAUGUUAUAGACUAUUUAUAGAUUUUAAAAAUCUAUUUGAAUAGUCACAAACUCUUCAAUUUGAAUAGUCACAUUCUUCUAAUUUAAGAAAGUUAUUUUGAAAAGAUACUUAUGAAAAUAGUCACAACUUUUCACUUUUUAAAAUAUACUUAUAUGAAUAAUCACAACUAUUUAGACAAUUUUUAGAAAAGACACAACAUUCCAACAUUAAGCUUUUAGAAAAGACACAAUCUUUCAACAUUGAAUUUUUAGAAAAGACACAACUUUUGAACAUCUUUUACAAAAGACACAACCUUUCAAUAUAAAUGGAUUCACAAUUUUUUCAAUUAAUUGAGAUUACUAUUAUUAGUAGAUAAGAUAUCUGAUAUUGAUUGCAAUGAAUAAGACUGAUUGUGGAUAAUAUUCGAGAUUGGAAAUAUGGAUAUGCUAUCUGGUUACUUUUAAAUGUUUUGAUCUAUGAGAUAUAAAAUCUUAUUUAAUUCUUGAUAUCAUGUAUUCAGACUCUUGUCAGGGAAUAAUAUGUAUACGAUGGGUGUAUAAGUAUAACACAGCUAUUGCAUGGGAACAAUUAUAUUUAAUAAAAAUCAGACUGUGGAAAAUCAAAUGCGCAGAAUCAGUACUAAAAUAUUCCAUUUCAAGAGUAAAUAAACUAUAUACAUGAACUGGCCUUAUUCAAGAAUACGUGUGAGAAUGAACAUUGUAGCGGCCGAAGUUUCAUGUAUGUAAACUAUUCCUUUUCUGGUUUGGACGACUAAAGUUUUUCGGUUAUAAAAUAUUUAUUUGGCACUAAAAUUACUUGUAUAGGGCAUGCAAACAAAUAAGUGAUUUAUGCUUAACACCGUAAAAAUGGUUGAAACUGAUUAUCAUGAUCCUUCGAUGUUCCUCGAUCAUUCAUCAACCCUGGAAAACUUGGAAGAAGUUUAGUUAAACUGAUGCCUGAUGUUAAAGUCGAACGUGUAAGAGUAAGAUUAUGCUUGGGACGUCUCGAUAUGGAUCUCAGACAGCCGGAUGGAUACCGCGAAUUUGAGCUUCAUUGUAUAGUCAUAUUAAACUUGGUGUUCUACGAUAAUGGAAAUCUUAGAUCACACAAUUCUAUACUUCAUCUGGCGAGAGAACAAACCACUGCUUAGUUAGGAUCUCCAUAGCGGCUAUCUCGCCAUGUCUCUCUUGCAACAAUCCAUCUUAUGAACAUAAUUCGGCUUUGCCCACACAACUAAUUUUGUAAAAUAGGUAUGCUCAUGGUGAUGCUAUUAUAGCUAAUCUGUGGUAACAAUUUUCUUUCCAAAUAAAUUUAACUUUAAAUAAUAAAACUGAAAAUUUACUGCAUGUAUUAAAGGUUACACAUAUUAAUUCCAAAAAGGAAGUAUGUGACCGACCGAAUGUCUAUCUCUAGCUAAUUCUAGCUGCACCACUGUAUAAAAAGUCCACAAUAUCUGGAGUCCAGUCUGUAAUUUGAAUAAAACUGGAAUGUGAAAAAAAAAAUAGAAUGUGACUCCAUUUCUCUCAUAUUAAACAUCGUACGAUAAUUUAUAAUCGAACUCGUCCGAAGGCGGAGAAUAUUAAAAAUGAAAUGGAGAAUUACAUUUUUGUUAUAUAUAAUGAGAAAAAAAGUCCAAUUAAAAUCACAAGAUCCGUGCAUCAUCUCGGCGAGUUGAGGCCAAUGUCCAUUCCGUUAAAAGCAAUCGGCGCAUACAUCCAUAGAUCAUCAGAGCUUAAUAACUGCGUAAUUAUUAUUUUAAUUUUAAUUAGAUCGCACUCGUAUAUGACACAUGCAUGAAUGUACACGUAAACUGUCAAAAUUAAAACCCACCUUAAUUUGGAGUUGCAAAAAUUUGACGUAAUGAACGGCUUCCUCAAGCAUUGUACUGAUAUCAACCUGUGACGCAUUUAAGAAACUACAUAUUUUUAGAAUUUUUAACGUUUCUUGUAAAAUAAAUUGCAUGCAAAGAACAACCAUAUCAUCUGCAUGUGUUUAACGUUUGCAUGAAUUUUUUUUACCUUUGUUCCAUUGGGGACCAGAUUUUGCAAAAUCCUCAGUCUCUCGUUUAUCCUUUCUCUUCUUUUCUGCACAACCAAAUAAUGAUUCUUAGGCUUUCUACUUUUUGGGGAAUAAUGAUUUGCGUUUUGUGUCCCAAAAAAAAAAAGAAAAUAUUGAUCAAAAUUAAAGAAGAAACGUUGACGUUAACAAGAGAAAGAUAUUCACCCUUGCGUAAAGGCUUUGAGGGUCGGUGGCAGCACCGCGACUGGCCCUGGUCUUUCCGUUAAGGUUGAGGGCCUUGGAGGCAUCUUCUUCCUCUUCUCCUCCAUCACCCUGAGAAGGUCAUUGUGAUUCUUCCUCGAAACAGAAAGAGGUGCUCGAGUUCUGUCUACUCAUCAUAGUCCCACUCUUUCUUUUCUUCACCUUCUCUCCUUCAUCUUCUUCGCCAUUGUUGGUAUCAUCGCUCAUCUCUAUAUUCUUUUGGCCUCUCUUACUCACUUUUGUUCUCUUGUUUUUCUGAAACAACCAAUUAACAGAUAUUAUAGUCAAUAAACCAUGUUACUAUCAUAUAUAUUUGGUGGAGAAUGGUUUUGUUAAAAUAUAAAUGGUAAUAUUUUGAUGCAAUCAAGUUCAUAUAGAUUCCACUAAGUCCCUCUAAAUUGACAACCAGGUAGGAAUCUUAAGCCGUAAACUUACAUCAGCCGAUGUCGCACGUGAUCUCUUCUUGGAACCGGUGAGAUAUUUCUGAUGAUGAUCCGUAGUAGUCACAGAGAUCUCGGAUUGCAAGAUGCUCUCCUCCUCAUUGUGGUUCUCAACAACGGUUUCCAAGGGAAAAAGAGUCUUUCCAGAUGAGUAUUUCUCCACGUCACAUUCACUUGUCUCCUCACCAACAAGGUAAGAGUUGGUGUUGAUGGUCGCAUCUUCCAGCCCAAAGUCCAUUGGCACAUUGUUGUUCUCUUCAGCCGCGGGUGGUACUACCGCAUAGUAUCCACUGUUCCCAACGCUGUAGCUGCUGCUCUCGCCAGAGAAACAGAAGCUACUGGCUUCAGGCAUGAGAGUAAGGUGGUUGUGAUGAGAGCCAAGGCUCCAAUACAAGCCGUGGUGGUCUCCACCGGUUAUCCCAGAGGCUGGCCCGGUGCCAGGAUGAUCGUAGGAGGCGAGGAGCUGGUUCAUGAAAUCGGCUUCUUCGGUUGCAUAUGUGUACAUUCCUCCGAGGUUGUUGCUCCAUUCUCCCAUGGCUUCCAUUUUAAUUUUGUUAUUAAAUUAAGCGUCUUAAUUAAGAGAUUAAUCUUAGUUAAGAAGAUUGGUUAGUUUUGUUUGUUGGAUGCCUUGUAAGAAGUGAGGGAAUGAGGGAGAGGAGUUGGGAUGUAUAUAUAGAGAACAUGAGGAAUAGUGGAUAAAUUAUAACACCAAUGACAAUCAUCAUUCUAAUUAAUUUAUAAGGAUACCCUUAGAUAUGAACAGCUAAUAAUUAUGGUGGGCGAUACAACUUGGUCUUCAAAGCAUAUUUUUGUAGUUUCUUGGUUAUGACUCGAUGCAUUCCGCUUAUCUUAUUGCUCCACUUCGUAAUUAUUUCAUAGUUCUUAAACACAUCAAUUUAAGUAAGCAAAAAUAAUAUAGUUGGAUGGUAUACCCGAAUAUGACAAUGUGAUAAUGGUAUGUCAAUUUUCAAUAGAAUUGUAGGAUCAAGAUUGGAGAAGCUCAUUAUAUUGUUUAACUACGCUGUAGAUUAUAUAUUAGUUAGCUUUAGGCUUACGUUUUACCAAAGCUUCCAACUUAUUUAGCAGAAACUCAAAUUGAACAGUCCGAAAUUGAAUUUUCGAUACAUAUAAUAUUUAAAACAUUCGGGAACAUUAUAUUUACGGUCGGAUUAAUAAUACGCUCUCUAAUUGCGCUGAUCCAUUGAGUUUAAUGUUGAAUACUAAUUAGAUACAUAACUUUUUCAAAGUUAGUUAAUUAUAUUUACCAAAAUACAAUACAUAUUUGAUAAAGUACAUAUGAUCCUUAACAACAAAAACUGCAUAUGAUGAUGUCUUCAAAAACUUCCAUUAAUAGACAUCCUGCCAUGAUAUAGCAAAGACCUUGUUUUAGUUUAGUAGAAAAAUAUUAUCUUGCUAUAAUAUUCUACUACAUCUUCAGAAUAUUCCAAUCUAUUGAUAAAAUAUAACUGCAUUUUAUCUUAUAAUCUCUGUAAAGCGACACAACGUAUUAAUCAAUAUUUUACCUUACAUAACUAACAAAUAGUCGAAAAACGAAAUGGGUUUAAUUAAAUGAAUAUAUGCUAUAGAACUUUUAAAUAUCGUAAAUGAUCUAUUUCGGAUACGUACUCCUAGACUUCACGAAAAUAUAUAGAAGCAUGUAAAUUGUUAUUUAUUUAUACUUUUUACAUUACUUUUGAAAUUAUUAUUUUGUCAGCUGUAUUUUCCAAAUAUGCGCUGACUUAAUAAUGUUUGUCCUAACUUUUUAAAAAUACAUUACAAACUAAACCAUGCAUACAGUAGACCUUAGACAUAUGGUUCCAGUCUAGUCAGUCAUUUGUUCAUGUAAACUCAAACCUUGACAUAAUCAACGGUGAUUUAAAGAAGAUGAGAGGAAAUGGUUGGGUUUAUGUAUUAUGACAAUAUUUGGAUUAUUCUGUUUUUUUAGUUGUAAUGAAAUAUAUAUAGGUAUAUAUAUACUACUAUUCCACUUUAAUAUGGAAUAAGAUUGUAACAGUAUAACUUUAAAAUUUGUCAAAAAAAGAAAAUUUUAAGCCCUUUCUUAACAAAAAAAAUUUAAGUUUUAAAAAAAAUCAUAUAUUAAAAGGUAACAACAUAAAAUAUGAAAACUUGUAAAUUUUAAUGACCUAAAAACUCUCCGCUUUAUCGGCUUUCUUUAUGAUUUUUAAGACGUUUUUGUAUAUAUGAUUUACUGAUUUAUAAGUUUUUAGAUAUAUUUUAAAUUGCAUAAAAGGUUUUUGUUAAUGAAAGAUCGAAAAUUAAUGUUAAAUAACAUCGAAAAAUUGAUCAAUCAGAUUUAUGCAUACAUGAUACAUCAUACUAACAAUAAAAAAGUGUGGUGAUACUGUCGUUACUAUAUAUGGUAGUUAUAGAGCCUUAGGGUUAGGGCCUGGGUAAUUAAUUACACCAAGGCUCUUCCUCUAAUUUUAUCUUCUAGUUUAUACAGUUUUUUUUAAUAAGUGGUUUAUACAGUUUUACUACACUAAAAACGAUUCUUGUAAAAUUUCAAUUAUUAUAAGUUCUUAUUUAAAUAAGAGUCGAAGUCUUCUGUGGCUUAGAGCAACAUUAUCGGGCUUCUAAGCCUCGAUGCUUAGCCCAAUUCGAGUUAAAAUUUAAAUCAAAAAUGGGGAAUAUUAAUAGAAUCGUUUUUUAGGUAAGAAGUUUGUGGGCGCAGUGCUUGUGUCACGUGGCAAGCGGUAAUAGGAAGUUGGAAGCGGUAGAGAGAAGAGGUCGUUCCGUCUCGAUCCAUUUUCUUCGUCUCCCUCUUCUCUCUCUCUCUCUCUGUCUCUGGAGAAGGCGAUUUCUCGACCAGUGAAGCGGCGUCGCUUACCACACCGAUCG